rnacentral:lncRNA from 1 species
CAAAACUCGCCAACACUUAGGCAAAAAGACGAAAAAGAGGUCAAAACUCGCAUCGGCCGUCCGAAUGACAUGCAAACACACACAUAGAACCGCGUAGGUAAUACACACGCAUUAGAACUUACGGGACUCGAUUCCGACAUACGGAGACCGAGUUAUCGCUUAAUUUGCAAAACACGCCAAUACUUAGGCAAAUAGCGGAAAAAGAGGUCAAAAACCCGCAUCAGCCGUUCGAAUGACACGCAAACACACACAUAACACCGCGUAGGUAAUAGUCAUGCAUUAGAACUUACGGGACUCGAUUCCGACAUGCGGAAACUGAGUUAUCGCCCAGUUUGCAAAACUCGCCAACACUUAGGCAAAAAGACGAAAAACAUGUCAAAACCCGCAUCGGCCGUUUGAAUGACACGCAAACACACACAUAGCACCGCGUAGGUAAUAGACACGCGUUAGAACUUACGGGACUCGAAUCCGACAUACGGAGACUGAGUUAUGGCCCAGUUUGCAAAACUCGUCAACACUUAGGCAAAAAGUCGAAAAAGGGGUCAAAAUCCACAUCGGUCGUUCGAAUGACACGCAAACCCACACAUAACACCGCGUAGGUAAUAGUCAUGCAUUAGAACUUACGGGACUCGAUUCCGACAUACGGAAACUGAGUUAUCGCCCAGUUUGCAAAACUCGUCAACACUUAGGCAAAAAGACGAAAAACAGGUCAAAACCCGCAUCGUCCGUUUGAAUGACACGCAAACACACACAUAGCACCGCGUAGGUAAUAGACACGCGUUAGAACUUACGGGACUCGAAUCCGACAUACGGAGACUGAGUUAUCGCCCAGUUUGCAAAACUCGUCAACACUUAGGCAAAAAAGUCGAAAAAGGGGUCAAAACUCGCAUCGGUCGUCCGAAUGACACGCAAACACACUAAUAGCACCGCGUAGGUAAGAGACACGCGUUAUAACUUAUGGGACUAGAUUCUGACAUACGGAGACCGAGUUAUCGCGGAGUUUGCAAAACUCGCCAACACUUGGGCAAAAAGCCGAAAAAGAGGUCAAAACCAACAUCUGCCGUCCAAAUGACACGAAUACACACAUAUAGCACCGUGCAGGUAAUAGACACGCGUUAGAACUUACGGGACUCGAUUCUGACAUACAGAGACCGAGUUAUCGCCUAGUUUGCAAAACUCGCAAACACUUAGGCAAAAAGACGAAAAACAGGUCAAAACCCGCAUCGGUCGUCUGAAUGACACGUAAACACACACAUAAAACCGCGUAGGUAAUAGUCAUGUAUUAGAACUUACGGGACUCGAUUCCGACAUACGAAGACUGAUUUAUCGCCCAGUUUGCAAAACUUGCCAACACUUAGGCAAAAAGACGAAAAAUAGGUCAAAACCCGCAUCGGCCGUCCGAAUGACACGCAAACACACACAUAGCACCGCGUAGGUAAUAGACACGCAUUAGAACUUACGGGACUCGAUUCCGACAUACGGAGACUGAGUUAUCGCCCAGUUUGCAAAACUCGCCAACACUUAGGCAAAAAGUCGAAAAAGGGGUCAAAACUCGCAUCGGUAGUCCGAAUGACACGCAAACACACUAAUAGCACCGCGUAGGUAAUAGACACGCGUUAGAACUUACGGGACUCGAUUCCGACAUACGGAGACCGAGUUAUCGCGGAGUUUGCAAAACUCGCCAACACUUGGGCAAAAAGCCGAAAAAGAGGUCAAAACCCGCAUCUGCCGUCCGAAUGACACGAAUACACACAUAUAGCACCGUGCAGGUAAUAGACAUGCGUUAGAACUUACGGGACACGAUUCUGACAUACGGAGACCGAGUUAUUGCCCAGUUUGCAAAACUCGCCAACACUUAGGCAAAAAGCCGAAAAAGACGGCCGUCCGAAUGACAUGCAAACACACACAUAGAACCGCGUAGGUACUAGACACGCUUUAGAACUUACGGGACUCGAUUCCGACAUACGAAGACCGAGUUAUCGCGGAGUUUGCAAAACUCGCCAACACUUGGGCAAAAAACCGAAAAAGAGGUCAAAACCCGCAUCUGCCAUCCGAAUGACACGAAUACACACAUAUAGCACCGUGCAGGUAAUAGACAUGCGUUAGAACUUACGGGACUCGUUUCUGACAUACGGAGACCGAGUUAUUGCCCAGUCUGCAAAACUCGUCAACACUUAGGUAAAAAGCCGAAAAAGAGGUUAAAACUCGCAUCGGCCGUCCGAAUGACAUGCAAACACACACAUAGAACCGCGUAGGUAAUAGACACGCAUUAGAACUUACGGGACUCGAUUCCGACAUACGAAGACCGGGUUAUCGCUUAAUUUGCAGAACACGCCAAUACUUAGGCAACUAGCGGAAAAAGAGGUCAAAAACCCGCAUCGGCCGUUCGAAUGACACGCAAACACAGACAUAACACCGCGUAGGUAAUAGUCAUGCAUUAGAACUUACGGGACUCGAUUCCGACAUACGGAAACUGAGUUAUCGCACAGUUUGCAAAACUCGCCAACACUUAGGCAAAAAGACGAAAAACAGGUCAAAACCCGCAUCGGCCGUUUGAAUGACACGCAAACACACACAUAGCACCGCGUAGGUUAUAGACACGCGUUAGAACUUACGGGACUCGAAUCCGACAUACGGAGACAGAGUUAUCGCCCAGUUUGCAAAACUCGUCAACACUUAGGCAAAAAGUCGAAAAAGGGGUCAAAACCCGCAUCGGCCGUUCGAAUGACACGCAAACACACAUAUAACACCGUGUAGGUAAUAGUCAUGCAUUAGAACUUACGGGACUCGAUUCCGACAUACGGAAACUGAGUUAUCGCCCAGUUUGUAAAACUCGCCAACACUUAGGCAAAAAGACGAAAAACAGGUUAAAACCCGCAUCGGCCGUUUGAAUGACACGCAAACACACACAUAGCACCGCGUAGGUAAUACACACGCGUUAGAACUUACGGGACUCGAAUCCGACAUACGGAGACUGAGUUAUCGCCCAGUUUGCAAAACUCGUCAACACUUAGGCAAAAAGCCGAAAAAGAGGUUAAAACUCGCAUCGGCCGUCCCAAUGACAUGCAAACACACACAUAGAACCGCGUAGGUAAUAGACACGCAUUAGAACUUACGGGACUCGAUUCCGACAUACGGAGACCGAGUUAUCGCCUAAUUUGCAAAACACGCCAAUACUUAGGCAAAAAGCGGAAAAAGAGGUCAAAAAACCGCGUAGGUAAUAGACACGCAUUAGAACUUACGGGACUCGAUUCCGAUAUACAGAGACCGAGUUAUCGCCUAGUUUGUAAAACUCGCCAACACUUAGGCAAAAAGCCGAAAAAGAGGUCAAAACCCGCAUCUGCCGUCCGAAUGACACGAAUACACAGAUAUAGCCCCGUGCAGGUAAUACACAUGCGUUAGAACUUACGGGACUCGAUUCUGACAUACGGAGACCGAGUUAUUGCCCAGUCUGCAAAACUCGCCAACACUUGGGCAAAAAGUCGAAAAAGGGGUCAAAACUCGCAUCGGUUGUCCGAAUGACACGCAAAUACAUUAAUAGCACCGCGUAGGUAAUAGACACGCGUUAGAACUUACUGGACUCGAUUCCGACAAACGAAGACUGAGUUAUCGCUCAGUUUGCAAAACUCGCCAACACUUAGGCAAGAAGCCGAAAAAGAGGUCAAAACUCGCAUCGGCCGUCCGAAUGACGGCCGUCCGAAUGACAUGCACACACACACAUAGAACCGCGUAGGUAAUAGACACGCGUUAGAACUUACGGGACUCGAUUCUGACAUACGGAGACCGAGUUAUCGCGGAGUUUGCAAAACUCGCCAACACUUAGGCGAAAAGUCGAAAAAGGGGUCAAAACUCGUAUCGGUAGUCCGAAUGACACGCAAACACACUAAUAGCACCGCGUAGGUAAUAGACACGCGUUAGAACUUACGGGACUCGAUUCUGACAUACGGAGACCGAGUUAUCGCGGAGUUUGCAAAACUCGCCAACACUUAGGCGAAAAGUCGAAAAAGGGGUCAAAACUCGUAUCGGUAGUCCGAAUGACACGCAAACACACUAAUAGCACCGCGUAGGUAAUAGACACGCGUUAGAACUUACGGGACUCGAUUCUGACAUACGGAGACCGAGUUAUCGCGGAGUUUGCAAAACUCGCCAACACUUAGGCGAAAAGUCGAAAAAGGGGUCAAAACUCGUAUCGGUAGUCCGAAUGACACGCAAACACACUAAUAGCACCGCGUAGGUAAUAGACACGCGUUAGAACUUACGGGACUCGAUUCUGACAUACGGAGACCGAGUUAUCGCGGAGUUUGCAAAACUCGCCAACACUUAGGCGAAAAGUCGAAAAAGGGGUCAAAACUCGUAUCGGUAGUCCGAAUGACACGCAAACACACUAAUAGCACCGCGUAGGUAAUAGACACGCGUUAGAACUUACGGGACUCGAUUCUGACAUACGGAGACCGAGUUAUCGCGGAGUUUGCAAAACUCGCCAACACUUAGGCGAAAAGUCGAAAAAGGGGUCAAAACUCGUAUCGGUAGUCCGAAUGACACGCAAACACACUAAUAGCACCGCGUAGGUAAUAGACACGCGUUAGAACUUACGGGACUCGAUUCUGACAUACGGAGACCGAGUUAUCGCGGAGUUUGCAAAACUCACCAACACUUGGGCAAAAAGCCGAAAAAGAGGUCAAAACCCGCAUCUGCCUUCUGAAUGACAUGCAAACACACAUAGAACCGCGUAGGUAAUAGACACGCAUUAGAACUUACGGGACUCGAUUCCGACAUACGAAGACCGAGUUAUCGCGGAGUUUGCAAAACUCGCCAACACUUGGGCAAAAAGCCCAAAAAGAGGUCAAAACCCGCAUCUGCCGUUUGAAUGACACGAAUACACAGAUAUAGCACCGUGCAGGUAAUAGACACGCGUUAGAACUUACGGGACUCGAUUCUGACAUACGGAGACCGAGUUAUUGCGCAGUUUGCAAAACUCGCCAACACUUAGGCAAAAAGUCGAAAAAGGGGUCAAAACUUGCAUCGGUAGUCCGAAUGACACGCAAACACACUAAUAGCAUCGCGUAGGUAAUAGACACGCGUUAGAACUUACGAGACUCGAUUCCGACAUACGGAGACCGAGUUAUCGCGGAGUUUGCAAAACUCGCCAACACUUGGGCAAAGAGCCGAAAAAGAGGUCAAAACCCGCAUCUGCCGUCCGAAUGACACGAAUACACACAUAUAGCACCGUGCAGGUAAUAGACACGCGUUAGAACUUACGAGACUCGAUUCCGACAUACGGAGACCGAGUUAUCGCGGAGUUUGCAAAACUCGCCAACACUUGGGCAAAGAGCCGAAAAAGAGGUCAAAACCCGCAUCUGCCGUCCGAAUGACACGAAUACACACAUAUAGCACCGUGCAGGUAAUAGACACGCGUUAGAACUUACGAGACUCGAUUCCGACAUACGGAGACCGAGUUAUCGCGGAGUUUGCAAAACUCGCCAACACUUGGGCAAAGAGCCGAAAAAGAGGUCAAAACCCGCAUCUGCCGUCCGAAUGACACGAAUACACACAUAUAGCACCGUGCAGGUAAUAGACACGCGUUAGAACUUACGAGACUCGAUUCCGACAUACGGAGACCGAGUUAUCGCGGAGUUUGCAAAACUCGCCAACACUUGGGCAAAGAGCCGAAAAAGAGGUCAAAACCCGCAUCUGCCGUCCGAAUGACACGAAUACACACAUAUAGCACCGUGCAGGUAAUAGACACGCGUUAGAACUUACGAGACUCGAUUCCGACAUACGGAGACCGAGUUAUCGCGGAGUUUGCAAAACUCGCCAACACUUGGGCAAAGAGCCGAAAAAGAGGUCAAAACCCGCAUCUGCCGUCCGAAUGACACGAAUACACACAUAUAGCACCGUGCAGGUAAUAGACACGCGUUAGAACUUACGAGACUCGAUUCCGACAUACGGAGACCGAGUUAUCGCGGAGUUUGCAAAACUCGCCAACACUUGGGCAAAGAGCCGAAAAAGAGGUCAAAACCCGCAUCUGCCGUCCGAAUGACACGAAUACACACAUAUAGCACCGUGCAGGUAAUAGACACGCGUUAGAACUUACGAGACUCGAUUCCGACAUACGGAGACCGAGUUAUCGCGGAGUUUGCAAAACUCGCCAACACUUGGGCAAAGAGCCGAAAAAGAGGUCAAAACCCGCAUCUGCCGUCCGAAUGACACGAAUACACACAUAUAGCACCGUGCAGGUAAUAGACACGCGUUAGAACUUACGAGACUCGAUUCCGACAUACGGAGACCGAGUUAUCGCGGAGUUUGCAAAACUCGCCAACACUUGGGCAAAGAGCCGAAAAAGAGGUCAAAACCCGCAUCUGCCGUCCGAAUGACACGAAUACACACAUAUAGCACCGUGCAGGUAAUAGACACGCGUUAGAACUUACGAGACUCGAUUCCGACAUACGGAGACCGAGUUAUCGCGGAGUUUGCAAAACUCGCCAACACUUGGGCAAAGAGCCGAAAAAGAGGUCAAAACCCGCAUCUGCCGUCCGAAUGACACGAAUACACACAUAUAGCACCGUGCAGGUAAUAGACACGCGUUAGAACUUACGAGACUCGAUUCCGACAUACGGAGACCGAGUUAUCGCGGAGUUUGCAAAACUCGCCAACACUUGGGCAAAGAGCCGAAAAAGAGGUCAAAACCCGCAUCUGCCGUCCGAAUGACACGAAUACACACAUAUAGCACCGUGCAGGUAAUAGACACGCGUUAGAACUUACGAGACUCGAUUCCGACAUACGGAGACCGAGUUAUCGCGGAGUUUGCAAAACUCGCCAACACUUGGGCAAAGAGCCGAAAAAGAGGUCAAAACCCGCAUCUGCCGUCCGAAUGACACGAAUACACACAUAUAGCACCGUGCAGGUAAUAGACACGCGUUAGAACUUACGAGACUCGAUUCCGACAUACGGAGACCGAGUUAUCGCGGAGUUUGCAAAACUCGCCAACACUUGGGCAAAGAGCCGAAAAAGAGGUCAAAACCCGCAUCUGCCGUCCGAAUGACACGAAUACACACAUAUAGCACCGUGCAGGUAAUAGACACGCGUUAGAACUUACGAGACUCGAUUCCGACAUACGGAGACCGAGUUAUCGCGGAGUUUGCAAAACUCGCCAACACUUGGGCAAAGAGCCGAAAAAGAGGUCAAAACCCGCAUCUGCCGUCCGAAUGACACGAAUACACACAUAUAGCACCGUGCAGGUAAUAGACACGCGUUAGAACUUACGAGACUCGAUUCCGACAUACGGAGACCGAGUUAUCGCGGAGUUUGCAAAACUCGCCAACACUUGGGCAAAGAGCCGAAAAAGAGGUCAAAACCCGCAUCUGCCGUCCGAAUGACACGAAUACACACAUAUAGCACCGUGCAGGUAAUAGACACGCGUUAGAACUUACGAGACUCGAUUCCGACAUACGGAGACCGAGUUAUCGCGGAGUUUGCAAAACUCGCCAACACUUGGGCAAAGAGCCGAAAAAGAGGUCAAAACCCGCAUCUGCCGUCCGAAUGACACGAAUACACACAUAUAGCACCGUGCAGGUAAUAGACACGCGUUAGAACUUACGAGACUCGAUUCCGACAUACGGAGACCGAGUUAUCGCGGAGUUUGCAAAACUCGCCAACACUUGGGCAAAGAGCCGAAAAAGAGGUCAAAACCCGCAUCUGCCGUCCGAAUGACACGAAUACACACAUAUAGCACCGUGCAGGUAAUAGACACGCGUUAGAACUUACGAGACUCGAUUCCGACAUACGGAGACCGAGUUAUCGCGGAGUUUGCAAAACUCGCCAACACUUGGGCAAAAAGUCGAAAAAGGGGUCAAAACUUGCAUCGGCCGUCCGAAUGACAUGCAAACACACACAUAGAACCGCGUAGGUAAUAGACACGCAUUAGAACUUACGGGACUCGAUUCCGACAUACAGAGACCGAGUUAUCGCCAAGUUUGCAAAACUCGCCAACACUUAGGCAAAAAGACGAAAAAUAGGUCAAAACCCGCAUCGGUCGUCUGAAUGACACUUAAACACACACAUAACACCGCGUAGGUAAAAGUCAUGUAUUAGAACUUACGGGACUCGAUUCCGACAUACGGAGACUGAUUUAUCGCCCAGUUUGCAAAACUUGCCAACACUUAGGCAAAAAGCCGAAAAAGAGGCCAAAACCCGCAUCGUCCGUCCGGACGCCACGCAAACACACACAUAGCACCGCGUAGGUAUUAGACACGUGUUAGAACUUACGGGACUCGAUUCCGACAUACGGAAUCCGAGUUAUCGUCCAGUUUGCAAAACUCGCCAACACUUAGGCAAAAAGCCGAAAAACAGCCCAAAACCCGCAUCGGACGUCCGAAUGCCACGCAAACACACACAUAGCACCGCGUAGGUAUUAGACACGUGUUAGAACUUACGGGACUCGAUUCCGACAUACGGAAUCCGAGUUAUCGUCCAGUUUGCAAAACUCGCCAACACUUAGGCAAAAAGCCGAAAAACAGCCCAAAACCCGCAUCGGACGUCCGAAUGCCACGCAAACACACACAUAGCACCGCGUAGGUAUUAGACACGUGUUAGAACUUACGGGACUCGAUUCCGACAUACGGAAUCCGAGUUAUCGUCCAGUUUGCAAAACUCGCCAACACUUAGGCAAAAAGCCGAAAAACAGCCCAAAACCCGCAUCGGACGUCCGAAUGCCACGCAAACACACACAUAGCACCGCGUAGGUAUUAGACACGUGUUAGAACUUACGGGACUCGAUUCCGACAUACGGAAUCCGAGUUAUCGUCCAGUUUGCAAAACUCGCCAACACUUAGGCAAAAAGCCGAAAAACAGCCCAAAACCCGCAUCGGACGUCCGAAUGCCACGCAAACACACACAUAGCACCGCGUAGGUAUUAGACACGUGUUAGAACUUACGGGACUCGAUUCCGACAUACGGAAUCCGAGUUAUCGUCCAGUUUGCAAAACUCGCCAACACUUAGGCAAAAAGCCGAAAAACAGCCCAAAACCCGCAUCGGACGUCCGAAUGCCACGCAAACACACACAUAGCACCGCGUAGGUAUUAGACACGUGUUAGAACUUACGGGACUCGAUUCCGACAUACGGAAUCCGAGUUAUCGUCCAGUUUGCAAAACUCGCCAACACUUAGGCAAAAAGCCGAAAAACAGCCCAAAACCCGCAUCGGACGUCCGAAUGCCACGCAAACACACACAUAGCACCGCGUAGGUAUUAGACACGUGUUAGAACUUACGGGACUCGAUUCCGACAUACGGAAUCCGAGUUAUCGUCCAGUUUGCAAAACUCGCCAACACUUAGGCAAAAAGCCGAAAAACAGCCCAAAACCCGCAUCGGACGUCCGAAUGCCACGCAAACACACACAUAGCACCGCGUAGGUAUUAGACACGUGUUAGAACUUACGGGACUCGAUUCCGACAUACGGAAUCCGAGUUAUCGUCCAGUUUGCAAAACUCGCCAACACUUAGGCAAAAAGCCGAAAAACAGCCCAAAACCCGCAUCGGACGUCCGAAUGCCACGCAAACACACACAUAGCACCGCGUAGGUAUUAGACACGUGUUAGAACUUACGGGACUCGAUUCCGACAUACGGAAUCCGAGUUAUCGUCCAGUUUGCAAAACUCGCCAACACUUAGGCAAAAAGCCGAAAAACAGCCCAAAACCCGCAUCGGACGUCCGAAUGCCACGCAAACACACACAUAGCACCGCGUAGGUAUUAGACACGUGUUAGAACUUACGGGACUCGAUUCCGACAUACGGAAUCCGAGUUAUCGUCCAGUUUGCAAAACUCGCCAACACUUAGGCAAAAAGCCGAAAAACAGCCCAAAACCCGCAUCGGACGUCCGAAUGCCACGCAAACACACACAUAGCACCGCGUAGGUAUUAGACACGUGUUAGAACUUACGGGACUCGAUUCCGACAUACGGAAUCCGAGUUAUCGUCCAGUUUGCAAAACUCGCCAACACUUAGGCAAAAAGCCGAAAAACAGCCCAAAACCCGCAUCGGACGUCCGAAUGCCACGCAAACACACACAUAGCACCGCGUAGGUAUUAGACACGUGUUAGAACUUACGGGACUCGAUUCCGACAUACGGAAUCCGAGUUAUCGUCCAGUUUGCAAAACUCGCCAACACUUAGGCAAAAAGCCGAAAAACAGCCCAAAACCCGCAUCGGACGUCCGAAUGCCACGCAAACACACACAUAGCACCGCGUAGGUAUUAGACACGUGUUAGAACUUACGGGACUCGAUUCCGACAUACGGAAUCCGAGUUAUCGUCCAGUUUGCAAAACUCGCCAACACUUAGGCAAAAAGCCGAAAAACAGCCCAAAACCCGCAUCGGACGUCCGAAUGCCACGCAAACACACACAUAGCACCGCGUAGGUAUUAGACACGUGUUAGAACUUACGGGACUCGAUUCCGACAUACGGAAUCCGAGUUAUCGUCCAGUUUGCAAAACUCGCCAACACUUAGGCAAAAAGCCGAAAAACAGCCCAAAACCCGCAUCGGACGUCCGAAUGCCACGCAAACACACACAUAGCACCGCGUAGGUAUUAGACACGUGUUAGAACUUACGGGACUCGAUUCCGACAUACGGAAUCCGAGUUAUCGUCCAGUUUGCAAAACUCGCCAACACUUAGGCAAAAAGCCGAAAAACAGCCCAAAACCCGCAUCGGACGUCCGAAUGCCACGCAAACACACACAUAGCACCGCGUAGGUAUUAGACACGUGUUAGAACUUACGGGACUCGAUUCCGACAUACGGAAUCCGAGUUAUCGUCCAGUUUGCAAAACUCGCCAACACUUAGGCAAAAAGCCGAAAAACAGCCCAAAACCCGCAUCGGACGUCCGAAUGCCACGCAAACACACACAUAGCACCGCGUAGGUAUUAGACACGUGUUAGAACUUACGGGACUCGAUUCCGACAUACGGAAUCCGAGUUAUCGUCCAGUUUGCAAAACUCGCCAACACUUAGGCAAAAAGCCGAAAAACAGCCCAAAACCCGCAUCGGACGUCCGAAUGCCACGCAAACACACACAUAGCACCGCGUAGGUAUUAGACACGUGUUAGAACUUACGGGACUCGAUUCCGACAUACGGAAUCCGAGUUAUCGUCCAGUUUGCAAAACUCGCCAACACUUAGGCAAAAAGCCGAAAAACAGCCCAAAACCCGCAUCGGACGUCCGAAUGCCACGCAAACACACACAUAGCACCGCGUAGGUAUUAGACACGUGUUAGAACUUACGGGACUCGAUUCCGACAUACGGAAUCCGAGUUAUCGUCCAGUUUGCAAAACUCGCCAACACUUAGGCAAAAAGCCGAAAAACAGCCCAAAACCCGCAUCGGACGUCCGAAUGCCACGCAAACACACACAUAGCACCGCGUAGGUAUUAGACACGUGUUAGAACUUACGGGACUCGAUUCCGACAUACGGAAUCCGAGUUAUCGUCCAGUUUGCAAAACUCGCCAACACUUAGGCAAAAAGCCGAAAAACAGCCCAAAACCCGCAUCGGACGUCCGAAUGCCACGCAAACACACACAUAGCACCGCGUAGGUAUUAGACACGUGUUAGAACUUACGGGACUCGAUUCCGACAUACGGAAUCCGAGUUAUCGUCCAGUUUGCAAAACUCGCCAACACUUAGGCAAAAAGCCGAAAAACAGCCCAAAACCCGCAUCGGACGUCCGAAUGCCACGCAAACACACACAUAGCACCGCGUAGGUAUUAGACACGUGUUAGAACUUACGGGACUCGAUUCCGACAUACGGAAUCCGAGUUAUCGUCCAGUUUGCAAAACUCGCCAACACUUAGGCAAAAAGCCGAAAAACAGCCCAAAACCCGCAUCGGACGUCCGAAUGCCACGCAAACACACACAUAGCACCGCGUAGGUAUUAGACACGUGUUAGAACUUACGGGACUCGAUUCCGACAUACGGAAUCCGAGUUAUCGUCCAGUUUGCAAAACUCGCCAACACUUAGGCAAAAAGCCGAAAAACAGCCCAAAACCCGCAUCGGACGUCCGAAUGCCACGCAAACACACACAUAGCACCGCGUAGGUAUUAGACACGUGUUAGAACUUACGGGACUCGAUUCCGACAUACGGAAUCCGAGUUAUCGUCCAGUUUGCAAAACUCGCCAACACUUAGGCAAAAAGCCGAAAAACAGCCCAAAACCCGCAUCGGACGUCCGAAUGCCACGCAAACACACACAUAGCACCGCGUAGGUAUUAGACACGUGUUAGAACUUACGGGACUCGAUUCCGACAUACGGAAUCCGAGUUAUCGUCCAGUUUGCAAAACUCGCCAACACUUAGGCAAAAAGCCGAAAAACAGCCCAAAACCCGCAUCGGACGUCCGAAUGCCACGCAAACACACACAUAGCACCGCGUAGGUAUUAGACACGUGUUAGAACUUACGGGACUCGAUUCCGACAUACGGAAUCCGAGUUAUCGUCCAGUUUGCAAAACUCGCCAACACUUAGGCAAAAAGCCGAAAAACAGCCCAAAACCCGCAUCGGACGUCCGAAUGCCACGCAAACACACACAUAGCACCGCGUAGGUAUUAGACACGUGUUAGAACUUACGGGACUCGAUUCCGACAUACGGAAUCCGAGUUAUCGUCCAGUUUGCAAAACUCGCCAACACUUAGGCAAAAAGCCGAAAAAGAGGUCAAAACCCGCAUCGGCCGUUCGAAUGACACGCAAACACACACAUAGCACCGCGUAGGCAAUAUACACCCGUUAGAACUGACGGGACUCGAUUCUGAUAUAUGGAGGCCGAGUUAUCGCCUAGUUUGCAAAACUCGUCAACACCUAGACAAAAAGCCGAAUAAGAGGUCAAAACUCGCAUCGGCAGUUCGAAUGACACGCAAACACACACAUAACACCGCCUAGGUAAUAGACACGGGUUAGAACUGACGGCCCUCGAUUCUGACAUACGGAGACCGAGUUAUAGCCCAGUUUGCAAAACUCGCCAAAACUUAGGCAAAAAGCCGAAAAAGAGGUCAAAACCCGCAUCGGUAGUCCGAAUGACUCGCAAACACACUAAUAGCACCGCGUAGGUAAUUGACAAGCGUUAGAACUUACGGGACUCGAUUCCGACAUACGGAGACCGAGUUAUCGCGGAGUUUGCAAAACUCGCCAACACUUGGGCAGAAAGCCGAAAAAGAGGUCAAAACCCGCAUCUGCCGUCCGAAUGACACGAAUACACACAUAUAGCACCGUGCAGGUAAUAGACAUGCGUUAGAACUUACGGGACUCGAUUCUGACAUACGGAGACCGAGUUAUUGCCUAGUCUGCAAAACUCGCCAACACUUAGGCAAAAAGCCGAAAAAGAGGUCAAAACUCGCAUCGGCCGUCCGAAUAACAUGCAAACACACACAUAGAACCGCGUAGGUAAUAGACACGCAUUAGAACUUACGGGACUCGAUUCCGACAUACGGAGACCGAGUUAUCGCGGAGUUUGCAAAACUCGCCAACACUUGGACAAAAAGCCGAAAAAGAGGUCAAAACCCGCAUCUGCCGUCCGAAUGACACGAAUACACAGAUAUAGCACCGUGCAGGUAAUAUACAUGCGUUAGAACUUAUGGGUCUCGAUUCUGACAUACGGAGACCGAGUUAUUGCCUAGUCUGCAAAACUCGCCAACACUUAGGCAAAAAGCCGAAAAAGAGGUCAAAACUCGCAUCGGCNNNNNNNNNNNNNNNNNNNNNNNNNNNNNNNNNNNNNNNNNNNNNNNNNNNNNNNNNNNNNNNNNNNNNNNNNNNNNNNNNNNNNNNNNNNNNNNNNNNNNNNNNNNNNNNNNNNNNNNNNNNNNNNNNNNNNNNNNNNNNNNNNNNNNNNNNNNNNNNNNNNNNNNNNNNNNNNNNNNNNNNNNNNNNNNNNNNNNNNNNNNNNNNNNNNNNNNNNNNNNNNNNNNNNNNNNNNNNNNNNNNNNNNNNNNNNNNNNNNNNNNNNNNNNNNNNNNNNNNNNNNNNNNNNNNNNNNNNNNNNNNNNNNNNNNNNNNNNNNNNNNNNNNNNNNNNNNNNNNNNNNNNNNNNNNNNNNNNNNNNNNNNNNNNNNNNNNNNNNNNNNNNNNNNNNNNNNNNNNNNNNNNNNNNNNNNNNNNNNNNNNNNNNNNNNNNNNNNNNNNNNNNNNNNNNNNNNNNNNNNNNNNNNNNNNNNNNNNNNNNNNNNNNNNNNNNNNNNNNNNNNNNNNNNNNNNNNNNNNNNNNNNNNNNNNNNNNNNNNNNNNNNNNNNNNNNNNNNNNNNNNNNNNNNNNNNNNNNNNNNNNNNNNNNNNNNNNNNNNNNNNNNNNNNNNNNNNNNNNNNNNNNNNNNNNNNNNNNNNNNNNNNNNNNNNNNNNNNNNNNNNNNNNNNNNNNNNNNNNNNNNNNNNNNNNNNNNNNNNNNNNNNNNNNNNNNNNNNNNNNNNNNNNNNNNNNNNNNNNNNNNNNNCGUAGGUAAUAGUCAUGUAUUAGAACUUAUGGGACUCGAUUCCGACAUACGGAGACUGAUUUAUCGCCCAGUUUGCAAAACUUGCCAACACUUGGGCAAAAAGCCAAAAAAGAGGUCAAAACUCGCAUCGGCCGUCCGAAUGACAUGCAAACACACACACAGAACCGCGUAGGUAAUAGACACGCAUUAGAACUUACGGGACUCGAUUCUGACAUACGGAGACCGAGUUAUCGCUUAAUUUGCAAAAACACGCCAAUACUUAGGCAAAAAGCGGAAAAAGAGGUCAAAAACCCGCAUCAGCCGUUCGAAUCACACGCAAACACACGCAUAACACCGCGUAGGUAAUAGUCAUGCAUUAGAACUUACGAGACUCGAUUCCGACAUACGGAAACUGAGUUAUCGCCCAGUUUGCAAAACUCGCAAACACUUAGGCAAAAAGUCGAAAAAGGGGUCAAAACUCGCAUCGGUAGUCCGAAUGACAUGCAAACACACUAAUAGCACCGCGUAGGUAAUAGACACGCGUUAGAACUUACGGGACUCGAUUUCGACAUACGGAGACCGAGUUAUCGCGGAGUUUACAAAACUCGCCAACACUUGGGCAAAAAGCCGAAAAAGAGGUCAAAACCCGCAUCUGCCGUCCGAAUGACACGCAAACACACACAUAGAACUGCCUAGGUAAUAGACACGCAUUAGAACUUACGGGACUCGAUUCUGACAUACGGAGACCGAGUUAUUGCCCAGUUUGCAAAACUCGCCAACACUUAGGCAAAAAGCCGAAAAAGAGGUCAAAACUCGCAUCGGCCGUCCGAAUGACAUGCAAACACACACAUAGAACCGCGUAGGUAAUAGACACGCAUUAGAACUUACGGGACUCGAUUCCGACAUACGGAGACCGAGUUAUCGCUUAAUUUGCAAAACACGCCAAUACUUAGACAAAUAGCGGAAAAGGAGGUCAAAAACCCGCAUCAGCCGUUCGAAUGACACGCAAACACACACAUAACACCGCGUAGGUAAUAGUCAUGCAUUAGAACUUACGGGACUCGAUUCCGACAUACGGAGACUGAGUUAUCGCCCAGUUUGCAAAACUCGCCAACACUUAGGCAAAAAGUCGAAAAAGGGGUCAAAACUCGCAUCGGUAGUCCGAAUGACACGCAAACACACUAAUAGCACCGCGUAGGUAAUAGACACGCGUUAGAACUUAUGGGACUCGAUUCUGACAUACGGAGACCGAGUUAUCGCGGAGUUUGCAAAACUCGCCAACACUUGGGCAAAAAGCCAAAAAAGAGGUCAAAACCCGCAUCUGCCGUCCGAAUGACACGCAAAUACACAUAUUGCACCGUGUAGGUAAUAGACACGCCUUAGAACUUACGGGACUCGAUUCUGACGUACGGAGACUGAGUUAUCGCCCAGUUUGAAAAACUCGCCAACACUUAGGCAAAAAGUCGAAAAAGGGGUCAAAACUCGCAUCGGUAGUCCGAAUGACACGUAAACACACUAAUAGCAUCGCGUAGGUAAUAGACACGCGUUAGAACUUACGGGACUCGAUUCUGACAUACGGAGACCGAGUUAUCGCGGAGUUUGCACAAAAAGCCAAAAAAGAGGUCAAAACCCGAAUCUGCCGUCCGAAUGACACGCAAAUACACAUAUUGCACCGUGUAAGUAAUAGACACGCCUUAGAACUUACGGGACUCGAUUCUGACGUACGGAGACUCAGUUAUCGCCCAGUUUGAAAAACUCGCCAACACUUAGGCAAAAAGUCGAAAAAGGGGUCAAAACUCGCAUCGGUAGUCCGAAUGACACGUAAACACACUAAUAGCAUCGCGUAGGUAAUAGACACGCGUUAGAACUUACGGGACUCGAUUCUGACAUACGGAGACCGAGUUAUCGCGGAGUUUGCAAAACUUGCCAACACUUAAGCAAAAAGUCGAAAAAGAGGUCAAAACCAGCAUCGGCCGUCCAAAUGACACACAAACACACACAUAGCACCGCGUAGGUAAUAGACACGCGUUAGAACUUACGGGACUCGAUUCCGACAUACGAAGACUGAGUUAUCGCCCAGUUUGCAAAACUCGCCAACACUUAGGCAAAAACACGAAAAACAGGUCAAAACCGGCAUCGGUCGUCUGAAUGACACUUAAACACACACAUAACACCGUGUAGGUAAUAGUCAUGUAUUAGAACUUACGGGACUCGAUUCCGACAUACGGAGACUGAGUUAUCGCCCAGUUUGCAAAACUCACCAACAAUUAGGCAAAAAGACGAAAAACAGGUCAAAACCCGCAUCGGCCGUCCGAAUGACACGCAAACACACACAUAGCAUCGCGUAGGUAAUUGACACGCGUAAGAACUUACGGGACUCGAUUCCGACAUACGGAGACUGAGUUAUCGCCCAGUUUGCAAAACUCACCAACAAUUAGGCAAAAAGACGAAAAACAGGUCAAAACCCGCAUCGGCCGUCCGAAUGACACGCAAACACACACAUAGCAUCGCGUAGGUAAUUGACACGCGUAAGAACUUACGGGACUCGAUUCCGACAUACGGAGACUGAGUUAUCGCCCAGUUUGCAAAACUCACCAACAAUUAGGCAAAAAGACGAAAAACAGGUCAAAACCCGCAUCGGCCGUCCGAAUGACACGCAAACACACACAUAGCAUCGCGUAGGUAAUUGACACGCGUAAGAACUUACGGGACUCGAUUCCGACAUACGGAGACUGAGUUAUCGCCCAGUUUGCAAAACUCACCAACAAUUAGGCAAAAAGACGAAAAACAGGUCAAAACCCGCAUCGGCCGUCCGAAUGACACGCAAACACACACAUAGCAUCGCGUAGGUAAUUGACACGCGUAAGAACUUACGGGACUCGAUUCCGACAUACGGAGACUGAGUUAUCGCCCAGUUUGCAAAACUCACCAACAAUUAGGCAAAAAGACGAAAAACAGGUCAAAACCCGCAUCGGCCGUCCGAAUGACACGCAAACACACACAUAGCAUCGCGUAGGUAAUUGACACGCGUAAGAACUUACGGGACUCGAUUCCGACAUACGGAGACUGAGUUAUCGCCCAGUUUGCAAAACUCACCAACAAUUAGGCAAAAAGACGAAAAACAGGUCAAAACCCGCAUCGGCCGUCCGAAUGACACGCAAACACACACAUAGCAUCGCGUAGGUAAUUGACACGCGUAAGAACUUACGGGACUCGAUUCCGACAUACGGAGACUGAGUUAUCGCCCAGUUUGCAAAACUCACCAACAAUUAGGCAAAAAGACGAAAAACAGGUCAAAACCCGCAUCGGCCGUCCGAAUGACACGCAAACACACACAUAGCAUCGCGUAGGUAAUUGACACGCGUAAGAACUUACGGGACUCGAUUCCGACAUACGGAGACUGAGUUAUCGCCCAGUUUGCAAAACUCACCAACAAUUAGGCAAAAAGACGAAAAACAGGUCAAAACCCGCAUCGGCCGUCCGAAUGACACGCAAACACACACAUAGCAUCGCGUAGGUAAUUGACACGCGUAAGAACUUACGGGACUCGAUUCCGACAUACGGAGACUGAGUUAUCGCCCAGUUUGCAAAACUCACCAACAAUUAGGCAAAAAGACGAAAAACAGGUCAAAACCCGCAUCGGCCGUCCGAAUGACACGCAAACACACACAUAGCAUCGCGUAGGUAAUUGACACGCGUAAGAACUUACGGGACUCGAUUCCGACAUACGGAGACUGAGUUAUCGCCCAGUUUGCAAAACUCACCAACAAUUAGGCAAAAAGACGAAAAACAGGUCAAAACCCGCAUCGGCCGUCCGAAUGACACGCAAACACACACAUAGCAUCGCGUAGGUAAUUGACACGCGUAAGAACUUACGGGACUCGAUUCCGACAUACGGAGACUGAGUUAUCGCCCAGUUUGCAAAACUCACCAACAAUUAGGCAAAAAGACGAAAAACAGGUCAAAACCCGCAUCGGCCGUCCGAAUGACACGCAAACACACACAUAGCAUCGCGUAGGUAAUUGACACGCGUAAGAACUUACGGGACUCGAUUCCGACAUACGGAGACUGAGUUAUCGCCCAGUUUGCAAAACUCACCAACAAUUAGGCAAAAAGACGAAAAACAGGUCAAAACCCGCAUCGGCCGUCCGAAUGACACGCAAACACACACAUAGCAUCGCGUAGGUAAUUGACACGCGUAAGAACUUACGGGACUCGAUUCCGACAUACGGAGACUGAGUUAUCGCCCAGUUUGCAAAACUCACCAACAAUUAGGCAAAAAGACGAAAAACAGGUCAAAACCCGCAUCGGCCGUCCGAAUGACACGCAAACACACACAUAGCAUCGCGUAGGUAAUUGACACGCGUAAGAACUUACGGGACUCGAUUCCGACAUACGGAGACUGAGUUAUCGCCCAGUUUGCAAAACUCACCAACAAUUAGGCAAAAAGACGAAAAACAGGUCAAAACCCGCAUCGGCCGUCCGAAUGACACGCAAACACACACAUAGCAUCGCGUAGGUAAUUGACACGCGUAAGAACUUACGGGACUCGAUUCCGACAUACGGAGACUGAGUUAUCGCCCAGUUUGCAAAACUCACCAACAAUUAGGCAAAAAGACGAAAAACAGGUCAAAACCCGCAUCGGCCGUCCGAAUGACACGCAAACACACACAUAGCAUCGCGUAGGUAAUUGACACGCGUAAGAACUUACGGGACUCGAUUCCGACAUACGGAGACUGAGUUAUCGCCCAGUUUGCAAAACUCACCAACAAUUAGGCAAAAAGACGAAAAACAGGUCAAAACCCGCAUCGGCCGUCCGAAUGACACGCAAACACACACAUAGCAUCGCGUAGGUAAUUGACACGCGUAAGAACUUACGGGACUCGAUUCCGACAUACGGAGACUGAGUUAUCGCCCAGUUUGCAAAACUCACCAACAAUUAGGCAAAAAGACGAAAAACAGGUCAAAACCCGCAUCGGCCGUCCGAAUGACACGCAAACACACACAUAGCAUCGCGUAGGUAAUUGACACGCGUAAGAACUUACGGGACUCGAUUCCGACAUACGGAGACUGAGUUAUCGCCCAGUUUGCAAAACUCACCAACAAUUAGGCAAAAAGACGAAAAACAGGUCAAAACCCGCAUCGGCCGUCCGAAUGACACGCAAACACACACAUAGCAUCGCGUAGGUAAUUGACACGCGUAAGAACUUACGGGACUCGAUUCCGACAUACGGAGACUGAGUUAUCGCCCAGUUUGCAAAACUCACCAACAAUUAGGCAAAAAGACGAAAAACAGGUCAAAACCCGCAUCGGCCGUCCGAAUGACACGCAAACACACACAUAGCAUCGCGUAGGUAAUUGACACGCGUAAGAACUUACGGGACUCGAUUCCGACAUACGGAGACUGAGUUAUCGCCCAGUUUGCAAAACUCACCAACAAUUAGGCAAAAAGACGAAAAACAGGUCAAAACCCGCAUCGGCCGUCCGAAUGACACGCAAACACACACAUAGCAUCGCGUAGGUAAUUGACACGCGUAAGAACUUACGGGACUCGAUUCCGACAUACGGAGACUGAGUUAUCGCCCAGUUUGCAAAACUCACCAACAAUUAGGCAAAAAGACGAAAAACAGGUCAAAACCCGCAUCGGCCGUCCGAAUGACACGCAAACACACACAUAGCAUCGCGUAGGUAAUUGACACGCGUAAGAACUUACGGGACUCGAUUCCGACAUACGGAGACUGAGUUAUCGCCCAGUUUGCAAAACUCACCAACAAUUAGGCAAAAAGACGAAAAACAGGUCAAAACCCGCAUCGGCCGUCCGAAUGACACGCAAACACACACAUAGCAUCGCGUAGGUAAUUGACACGCGUAAGAACUUACGGGACUCGAUUCCGACAUACGGAGACUGAGUUAUCGCCCAGUUUGCAAAACUCACCAACAAUUAGGCAAAAAGACGAAAAACAGGUCAAAAACCCGCAUCGGCCGUCCGAAUGACACGCAAACACACACAUAGCAUCGCGUAGGUAAUUGACACGCGUAAGAACUUACGGGACUCGAUUCCGACAUACGGAGACUGAGUUAUCGCCCAGUUUGCAAAACUCACCAACAAUUAGGCAAAAAGACGAAAAACAGGUCAAAACCCGCAUCGGCCGUCCGAAUGACACGCAAACACACACAUAGCAUCGCGUAGGUAAUUGACACGCGUAAGAACUUACGGGACUCGAUUCCGACAUACGGAGACUGAGUUAUCGCCCAGUUUGCAAAACUCGCCAACACUUGGGCAAAAAGCCGAAAAAGAGGUCAAAACCCGCAUCUGCCGUCCGAAUGACACGAAUACACAGAUAUAGCACCGUGCAGGUAAUAGACACACGUUAGAACUUAUGGGACUCGAUUCUGACAUACGGAGACCGAGUUAUCGCGGAGUUUGACAAACUCGCCAACACUUGGGCAAAAAGCCGAAAAAGAGGUCAAAACCAGCAUCUGCCGUCCGAAUGACACGAAUACAGACAUAUAGCACCGUGCAGGUAAUAGACACGCGUUAGAACUUACGGGACUCGAUUCUGACAUACAGAGACCGAGUUAUCGCCUAGUUUGCAAAACUCGCCAACAAUUAGGCAAAAAGACGAAAAACAGGUCAAAACCCGCAUCGGCCGUUCGAAUGACACGCAAACACACACAUAACACCGCGUAGGUAAUAGACAUGCAUUAGAACUUACGGGACUCGAUUCCGACAUACGGAGACUGAGUUAUCGCCCAGUUUGCAAAACUCGCCAACACUUAGGCUAAAAGUCGAAAAAGGGGUCAAAACUCGCAUCGGUGGUCCGAAUGACACGCAAACACACUAAUAGCACCGCGUAGGUAAUAGACACGCGUUAGAACUUACGGGACUCGAUUCCGACAUACGGAGACCGAGUUAUCGCCCAGUUUGCAAAACUCGCCAACACUUACGCAAAAAGCCAAAAAAGAGGUCAAAACUCGCAUCGGUAGUCCGAAUGACACGCAAACACACACAUAGCACCGCGUAGAUAAUUGAAACGCAUUAGAACUUAUGGGACUCGAUUCCGACAUAUGGAGACCGAGUUAUCGCCCAGUUUGCAAAACUCGCCAAGACUUAGGCAAAGAGCGGAAAAAGAGGUCAAAAACCCUUAUCGGCCGUUCGAAUGACACGCAAACACACACAUAACACCGUGCAGGUAAUAGACACGCGUUAGAACUUACAGGACUCAAUUCUGACAUACGGAGACCGAGUAAUUGCCCAGUUUGCAAAACUCGCCAACACUUAGGCAAAAAGCCGAAAAAGAGGUCAAAACUCGCAUCGGUCGUCUGAUGACACGCAAACACACACAUAACACCGCGUAGGUAAUAGUCACGCAUUAGAACUUACGGGACUCGAUUCCGACAUACGGAGACUGAUUUAUCGCCCAGUUUGCAAAAGUUGCCAACACUUAGGCAAAAGGACGAAAAAUAGGUCAAAACCCGCAUCGGCCGUCCAAAUAACACGCAAACACACACAUAGCACCGCGUAGGUAAUUGACACGCGUAAGAACUUACGGGACUCGAUUCCGACAUACGGAGACUGAGUUAUAGCCCAGUUUGUAAAACUCGCCAACAAUUAGGCAAAAAGCCAAAAAAGACGUCAAAACCCGCAUCGGCCGUCCGAAUGACACGCAAACACACACAUAGAACCGCGUAGAUAAUUGACACGCAUUAGAACUUACGGUACUCGAUUUCUACAUAUGGAGACCGAUUUAUCGCACAGUUUGCAAAACUCGCCAACACUUAAGCAAAAAGACGAAAAAGAGGUCAAAAACCCGCAUCGGCCGUCUGAAUGACACGCAAACACACACAUAGAACCGCGUAGAUAAUUGACACGCAUUAGAACUUAUGGUACUCGAUUUUGACAUAUGGAGACCGAGUUAUCGCCUAGUUUGUAAAACUCGCCAACACUUAAGCAAAAAGUCGAAAAAGGGGUAAAAACUCGCAUCAGUAGUCCGAAUGACACGCAAACACACUAAUAGCACCGCGUAGGUAAUAGACACGCGUUAGAACUUAUGGGACUCGAUUCCGACAUACGGAGACCGAGUUAUCGCGGAGUUUGCAAAACUCGCCAACACUUAGGCAAAAAGCCGAAAAAGAGGUCAAAACCCGCAUCUGCCGUCCGAAUGACACGAAUACACAGAUAUAGCACCGUGCAGGUAAUAGACACGCGUUAGAACCUACGGGACUCGAUUCUGACAUACGGAGACCGAGUUAUUGCACAGUUUGCAAAACUCGCCAACACUUAGGCAAAAAGCCGAAAAAGAGGUCAAAACUCGCAUCGGCCAUCCGAAUGAUAUGCAAACACACACAUAGAACCGCGUAGGUAAUAGACACGCAUUAGAACUUACGGGACUCGAUUCCGACAUACGGAGACCGAGUUAUCAUCUAAUUUGCAAAACACGCCAACACUUAGGCAAAAAGAGGAAAAAGAGGUCAAAAACCCGCAUCGGCUGUUCGAAUGACACGCAAACACACACAUAACACUGCGUAGGUAAUAGUCAUGCAUUAGAACUUACGGGACUCCAAUCUGACAUACGAAAACUGAGUUAUCGUCCAGUUUGCAAAACUCGCCAACACUUAGGCAAAAAGAGAAAAAACAGGUCAAAACCCGCAUCGGCCAUCUGAAUGAUACGCAACCACACACAUAGCACCGCGUAGGUAAUAGACACGCGUUAGAACUUACGGGACUCGAUUCCGACAUACGGAGACUGAGUUAUCGCCCAGUUUGCAAAACUCGUCAACGCUUAGGCAAAAAGUCGAAAAAGGGGUCAAAACUCGCAUCGGUCGUCCGAAUGACACGCCAACACACUAAUAGUACCGCGUAGGUAAUAGUCAUGCAUUAGAACUUACGGUACUCUAUUUCGAGUCGUCCGAAUGACACGCCAACACACUAAUAGUACCGCGUAGGUAAUAGACACGCGUUAGAACUUACGGGACUCGAUUCCGACAUAAGGAGACCGAGUUAUGACCCAGUUUGCAAAACUCGCCAACAUUUAGGCAAAAAGCCAAAAAAGACGUCAAAACCCGCAUCGGCCGUCCGAAUGACACGCAAACACACACAUAGAACCGCGUAGGUAAUUGACACGCAUUAGAACUUACGGUACUCGAUUUCGACAUAUGGAGACCGAUUUAUCGCCCAGUUUGCAAAACUCACCAACACUUAAGCAAAAAGACGAAAAAGAGGUCAAAACCCGCAUCGGCCGUCUGAAUGACACGCAAACACACACAUAACACCGCGUAGGUAAUAGUCAUGCAUUAGAACUUACGGGACUCGAUUCCGACAUACGGAGACCGAGUUAUCGCCUAAUUUGCAAAACACGCCAACACUUAGGCAAAAAGACGAAAAACAGGUCAAAACCCGCAUCGGCCGUCCGAAUGACACGCAAACACACACAUAGUACCGCGUAGAUAAUUGACACGCAUUAGAACUUGCGGUACUCGAUUUCGACAUAUGAAGACCGAGUUAUCACCCAGUUUGCAAAACUCGCCAACACUUAGGCAAAAAGACGAAAAAGAGGUCAAAACCAGCAUCGGCCGUCCGAAUGACACACAAACACACACAUAGCACCGCGUAGGUAAUAGACACGCGUUAGAACUUACGGGACUCGAUUCCGACAUACGGAGACCGAGUUAUCGCCCAGUUUGCAAAACUCGCCAACACUUAGGCAAAAAGCCGAAAAAGAGGUCAAAACCCGCACCGGCCGUCCGAAUGACACGCAAACACACACAUAGCACCGCGUAGGUAAUAGACACGCGUUAGAACUUACGGGACUCGAUUCCGACAUACGGAGACCGAGUUAUCGCCCAGUUUGCAAAACUCGCCAACACUUAGGCAAAAAGCCGAAAAUGAGGUCAAAACCCGCACCGGCAGUCCGAAUGACACGCAAACACACACAUAGCACCGCGUAGGUAAUAGACACGCGUUAGAACUUACGGGACUCGAGUCUGACAUACGGAGACCGAGUUAUCGCCCAGUUUACAAAACUCGCCAACACUUGGGCAAAAAGCCAAAAAAGAGGUCAAAACCCUGAUCGACCGUCCGAAUGACAUGCAAACACACACAUAGAACCGCGUAGGUAAUUGACACGCAUUAGAACUUACGGGACUCGAUUCCGACAUACGGAGACCGAGUUAUCGCGGAUUUUGCAAAACUCGCCAACACUUAGGCAAAAAGCCUAAAAAGGGGUCAAAACUCGCAUCGGUCGUCCGAAUGACACGCCAACACACUAAUAGCACCGCGUAGGUAAUAUACACGCAUUAGAACUUACGGGACUCGAUUCCGACAUACGGAGACCGAGUUAUCGCGGAGUUUGCAAAACUCGCCAACACUUAGGCAAAAUGCCAAAAAAGAGGUCAAAACCCGCAUCUGCCGUCCGAAUGACACGCAAACACAUUAAUAGCACCGCGUAGGUAAUAGACACACGUUAGAACUUACGGGACUCGAUUCCGACAUACAAAGACCGAGUUAUCGCGGAGUUUGUAAAACUCGCCAACACUUGGGCAAAAAGCCGAAAAAGAGGUCAAAACCCGCAUCUGCCGUCGAAUGACACGAAUACACACAUAUAGCACCGUGCAGGUAAUAGACACGCGUUAGAACUUACGGGACUCGAUUCUGACAUACGGAGACCGAGUUAUUGCCCAGUUUGCAAAACUCGCCAACACUUAGGCAAAUAGCCGAAAAAGAGGUCAAAACUCGCAUCGGCAGUCCGAAUGACAUACAAACACACACAUAGAACUGCGUAGGUAAUAGACACACAUUAGAACUUACGGGACUCGAUUCCGACAUACGGAGACCGAGUUAUCGCCUAGUUUGUAAAACUCGCCAACACUUAGGCAAAAAGACGAAAAAUAGGUCAAAACCCGCAUCGGUCGUCUGAAUGACACGCAAACACACACAUAACACCGCGUAGGUAAUAGUAAUGCAUUAGAACUUACGAGACUCGAUUCCAACAUACAGAGACUGAUUUAUCGCCCAGUUUGUAAAAGUUGCCAACACUUAGGCAAAAAGACGAAAAAUAGGUCAAAACCCGCAUCGGUCGUCCAAAUAACACGCAAACACACACAUAGCACCGCGUAGGUAAUUGACACGCGUAAGAACUUACGGGAUUCGAUUCCGACAUACGGAGACUGAGUUAUCGCCCAGUUUGCAAAACUCGCCAACAAUUAGGCAAAAAGACGAAAACAGGUCAAAACCCGCAUUGGCCGUCCGAAUGACACGCAAACACACACAUAGCACCGCAUAGGUAAUUGACACGCAUUAGAACUAAUGGGACUCGAUUCCGACAUACAUAGACCGAGUUAUCGCCAGUUUGCAAAACUCGCCAAGACUUAGGCAAAAAGCCAAAAAAGAGGUCAAAACCCGCAUCGGCCGUCCGAAUGACACGCAAACACACACAUAGCACCGCGUAGGUAAUAGACACGCGUUAGAACUUACGGGACUCGAUUCCGACAUACGGAGACCGAGUUAUCGCCCAGUUUGCAAAACUCGCCAACACUUAGGCAAAAAGUCGAAAAAGGGGUCAAAACUCGCAUCGGUAGUCCGAAUGACACGCAAACACACAAAUAGCACCGCGUAGGUAAUAGACACGCGUUAGAACUUACGGGACUCGAUUCCGACAUACGGAGACUGAGUUAUCGCCCAGUUUGCAAAACUCGCCAACACUUAGGCAAAAAGUCGAAAAAGGGGUCAAAACUCGCAUCGGUAGUCCGAAUGACACGCAAACACACUAAUAGCACCGCGUAGGUAAUAGACACGCGUUAGAACUUACGGGACUCGAUUCCGACAUACGGAGACCGAGUUAUCGCGCAGUUUGCAAAACUCGCCAACACUUAGGCAAAAAGCCGAAAAAGAGGUCAAAACCCACAUCUGCCGUCCGAAUGACACGCAACCACACAUAUAGCACCGUGUAGGUAAUAGACACGCCUUAGAACUUACGGGACUCGAUUCUGACGUACGGAGACCGAGUUAUUGCCCAGUUUGCAAAACUCGCCAACACUUAGGCAAAAAGUUGAAAAAGGGGUCAAAACUCGCAUCGGUCGUCCGAAUGACACGCCAACACACUAAUAGCACCGCGUAGGUAAUAGACACGUGUUAGAUCUUAUGGGACUCGAUUUUGACAUAUGGAGACCGAGUUAUCGCCCAAUUUGCAAAACUCGCCAACAAUUAGGCAAAAAGCUGAAAAAGAGGUCAAAAACCCGCAUCGGCCGUUCGAAUGACACGCAAACACACACAUAACACCGCGUAGGUAAUAGACAUGCAUUAGAACUUAUGGGACUAGAUUCCGACAUACGGAGACUGAGUUAUCGCCCAGUUUGCAAAACUCGCCAACACUUAGGCAAAAAGUCAAAAAAGGGGUAAAAACUCGAAUCAGUAGUCCGAAUGACACACAAACACACUAAUAGCACCGCGUAGGUAAUAGACACGCGUUAGAACUUACGGGACUCGAUUACGACAUACGGAGACCGAGUUAUCGCGGAGUUGGCAAAACUCGCCAACACUUAGGCAAAAAGCCGAAAAAGAUGUCAAAACCCGCAUCUGCCUUCCGAAUGACACGCAAACACAUAUAUAGCACCGUGUAGGUAAUAGACACGCGUUAGAACUUAUGGGACUCGAUUCUGACGUACGGAGACUGAGUUAUUGCCCAGUUUGCAAAACUCGCCAAGAUUUAGGCAAAAAGCCGAAAAAGAGGUCAAACUCGCAUCGGCCGUCCGAAUGACAUUCAAACACACACAUAGAACCGCGUGGGUAAUAGACAUGCAUUAGAACUUAUGGGACUCGAUUCCGACAUACGGAGACCGAGUUAUCGCCCAAUUUGCAAAAUUCGCCAACACUUAGGCAAAAAGCUGAAAAAGAGGUCAAAAACCGGCAUCGGCCAUUCGAAUGACACGCAAACAUGCACAUAACACAGCGUAGGUAAUAGACAUGCAUUAGAACUUACGGGACUCGAUUCCGACAUACGGAGACUGAGUUAUCGCCCAGUUUGCAAAACUCGCCAACACUUAGGCAAAAAGUCGAAAAAGGGGUCAAAACUCGCAUCGGUAGUUCGAAUGACACGCAAACACAUUAAUAGCACCGCGUAGGUAAUAGACACGCGUUAGAACUUACAGGACUCGAUUCCGACAUACGGAGACCGAGUUAUCGCGGAGUUUGCAAAACUCGCCAGCACUUGGGCAAAAAGCCGAAAAAGAGGUCAAAACCCGCAUCUGCCGUCCGAAUGACACGAAUACACACAUAUAGCACCGUGCAGGGAAUAGACACGCGUUAGAACUUACGGGACUCGAUUCUGACAUACGGAGUCCGAGUUAUUGCCCAGUUUGCAAAACUCGCCAACACUUAGACAAAAAGCCGAAAAAGAGGUCAAAACUCGCAUCGGCCGUCCGAAUGACAUGCAAACACACAUAGAACCGCGUAGGUAAUAGACACACAUUAGAACUUACGGGACUCGUUUCCGACAUACGGAGACCGAGUUAUCGUCUAAUUUGCAAAACACGCCAACACUUAGGCAAAAAGAGGAAAAAGAGGUCAAAAACCCGCAUCGGCCGUUUGAAUGACACGCAAACACACACAUAACACCGCGUAGGUAAUAGUCAUGCAUUAGAACUUACGGGACUCCAUUCUGACAUACGGAAACUGAGUUAUCGCCCAGUUUGCAAAACUCGCCAACACUUAGGCAAAAAGACAAAAAAUAGGUCAAAACCCGCAUCGGCCGUCUGAAUGACACGCAAACACACACAUGGCACCGCGUAGGUAAUAGACACGCGUUAGAACUUACGGGACUCGAUUCCGACAUACGGAGACUGAGUUAUCGCCUAGUUUGCAAAACUCGCCAACACUUAGGCAAAAAGCCAAAAAAGACGUCAAAACCCGCAUCGGCCGUCCGAAUGACACGCAAACACACACAUAGAACCGCGUAGCUAAUUGACACGCAUUAGAACUUACGGUACUCUAUUUCGACAUAUGGAGACCGAGUUAUCGCCCAGUUUGCAAAACUCGCCAACACUUAAGCAAAAAGACGAAAAAGAGGUCAAAACCCGCAUCGGCCGUCCGAAUGACACACAAACACACACAUAGCACCGCGUAGGUAAUAGACACGCGUUAGAACUUACGAGACUCGAUUCCGACAUACAAAGACUGAGUUAUCGCCCAGUUUGCAAAACUCGCCAACACUUAGGCAAAAAGUCAAAAAAGGGGUCAAAACUCGCAUCGUUCGUCCGAAUGACACGCAAACACACUAAUAGCAUCGCGUAGGUAAUAGAAACGCGUUAGAACUUACGGGACUCGAUUCCGACAUACGGAGACCGAGUUAUCGCGGAGUUUGCAAAACUCGCCAACACUUAGGCAAAAAGCUGAAAAAGAGGUCAAAAACCCGCAUCGGCCGUUCGAAUGACACGCAAACACACACAUAACACCGCGUAGGUAAUAGACAUGCAUUACAACUUACGAGACUCGAUUCCGACAUACGGAGACUGAGUUAUCGCCCAGUUUGCAAAACUCGCCAACACUUAGGCAAAAAGUCAAAAAAGGGGUCAAAACUAGCAUCGGUAGUCCGAAUGACACGCAAACACACUAAUAGCACCGCGUAGGUAAUUGACACGCGUUAGAACUUACAGGACUCGAUUCCGACAUACGGAGACCGAGUUAUCGCGGAGUUUGCAAAACUCGCCAACACUUGGGCAAAAAACCGAAAAAGAGGUCAAAACCCGCAUCUGCCGUCCGAAUGACACGAAUACACACAUAUAGCACCGUGCAGGUAAUAGACAUGCGUUAGAACUUACGGGACUCGAUUCUGACAUACGGAGACCGAAUUAUUGCCCAGUUUACAAAACUCGCCAACACUUAGGCAAGAAGCCGAAAAAGAGGUCAAAACUCGCAUCGGCCGUCCGAAUGACAUACAAACACACACAUAGAACCGCGUAGGUAAUAGAUAUGCAUUAGAACUUACGGGACUCGAUUCCGACAUACGGAGACCGAGUUAUCGCCUAGUUUGUAAAACUCGCCAACACUUAGGCAAAAAGACGAAAAACAGGUCAAAACCCGCAUCGGUCGUCUAAAUGACACGCAAACACACGCAUAGCACUGCGUAGGUAAUUGACACGCGUAAGAACUUACGGGACUCGAUUCCGACAUACGGAGACUGAGUUAUCGCCCAGUUUGCAAAACUCGCCAAUAAUUAGGCAAAAAGACGAAAAACAGGUCAAAACCCGCAUCGGCCGUCCGAAUGACACGCAAACACACACAUAGCACCGCGUAGGUAAUUGACACGUAUUAGAACUAAUGGGACUCGAUUCCGACAUACAGAGACCGAGUUAUCGACAGUUUGCAAAACUCGCCAAGACUUAGGCAAAAAGCCAAAAAAGAGGUCAAAACCCGCAUCGGUCGUCCGAAAGACACGCAAACACACACAUAGAACCGCGUAGGUAAUUGACACGCAUUAGAACUUACGGUACUCGAUUUCGACAUAUGGAGACCGAGUUAACACCCAGUUUGCAAAACUCGCCAACACUUAGGCAAAAAGACGAAAAAGAGGUCAAAACCCGCAUCGGCCGUCCGAAUGACACACAAACAUACACAUAGCACCGCGUAGGUAAUAGACACGCGUUAGAACUUACGGGACUCGAUUCCGACAUACGAAGACUGAGUUAUCGCCCAGUUUGCAAAACUCGCCAACACUUAAGCAAAAAGUCGAAAAAGGGGUCAAAACUCGCAUCGGUCGUCCGAAUGACACGCAAACACACACAUAGCGUCGCGUAGGUAAUAGACAUGCGUUAGAACUUACGGGACUCAAUUCCGACAUACGGAGACCGAGUUAUCGCGGAGUUUGCAAAACUCGCCAACACUUAGGCAAAAAGCCAAAAAAGAUGUCAAAACCCAGAUCUGCCGUCCGAAUGACACGCCAACACACUAAUAGCACCGCGUAGGUAAUAGACACGCGUUAGAACUUAUGGGACUCGAUUUUGACAUAUGGGGACCGAGUUAUCGCCCAAUUUGCAAAACUCACCAACAAUUAGACAAAAAGCUGAAAAAGAGGUCAAAAACCCGCAUCGGCCGUUCGAAUGACACGCAACACACACAUAACACCGCGUAGGUAAUAGACAUGCAUUAGAACUUACGGGACUCGAUUCCAACAUACGGAGACUGAGUUAUCGCCCAGUUUGCAAAACUCGCCAACACUUAGGCAAAAAGUCGAAAAAGGGGUAAAAACUCGUAUCGGUAGUCCGAAUGACACGCAAACACACUAAUAGCACCGCGUAGGUAAUAGACACGCGUUAGAACUUACGGGACUCGAUUCCGACAUACGGAGACCGAGUUAUCGCGGAGUUUGCAAAACUCGCCAACACUUAGGCAAAAAGCCGAAAAAGAAGUCAAAACCCGCAUCUGCCGUCCGAAUGACAUGCAAACACACAUAUAGCACCGUGUAGGUAAUAGACACGUGUUAGAACUUACGGGACUCGAUUCUGACGUACGGAGACUGAGUUAUUGCCCAGUUUGCAAAACUCGCCAACACUUAGGCAAAAAGCCGAAAAGAGGUCAAAACUCGCAUCGGCCGUCCGAAUGACAUACAAACACACACAUAGAACUGCGUAGGUAAUAGACACGCAUUAGAACUUACGGGACUCGAUUCCGACAUACGGAGACUGAGUUAUUGCCCAGUUUUCAAAACUCGCCAACACUUAGGCAAAAAGUCAAAAAGGGGUAAAAACUCGCAUCGGUAGUCCGAAUGACACGCAAACACACUAAUAGCACUGCGUUAUUGCGGAGUUUGUAAAACUCAUCAACACUUGGGCAAAAAGCCGAAAAAGAGGUCAAAACCCGCAUCUGUCGUCCGAAUGACACGAAUACACACAUAUAGCACCGUGAAGGUAAUAGACACGCGUUAGAACUUACGGGACUCGAUUCUGACAUAUGGAGACCGAGUUAUUGCCCAGUUUGCAAAACUCGCCAACACUUAGGCAAAAAGUCGAAAAAGGGGUCAAAACUCGCAUCGGUCGUCCGAAUGACACGCCAACACACUAAUAGCACCGCGUAGGUAAUAGACACUCGUUCGAACUUACGGGACUCGAUUUUGACAUAUGGAGACCGAGUUAUCGCCCAAUUUGCAAAACUCGCCAAUAAUUAGGCAAAAAGCUGAUAAAGAGGUCAAAAACCCGCAUCGGUCGUUCGAAUGACACGCAAACACACAUAUAGCACCGUGUAGGUAAUAGACACGCGUUAGAACUUACGGGUCUCGAUUUUGACAUGCAGAGACCGAGUUAUUGCCCAGUUUGCAAAACUCGCCAACACUUAGGCAAAAAGCCGAAAAAGAGGUCAAAACUCGCAUCGGCCGUCCGAAUGAUAUGUAAACACAAACAUAGAACCGCGUGGGUAAUAGACACACAUUAGAACUUACGGGACUCGAUUCCGACAUACGGAGACCGAGUUAUCGCCCAAUUUGCAAAACUCGCCAACACUUAGGCAAAAAGCAGAAAAAGAGGUCAAAAACCCACAUCGGCCGUUCGAAUGACAUGCAAACCCACACAUAACACACCGUAGGUAAUAGACAUGCAUUAGAACUUACGGGACUCGAUUCCGACAUACGGAGACUGAGUUAUCGCCCAAUUUGCAAAACUCGCCAACACUUAGGCAAAAAGCUGAAAAAGAGGUCAAAACUCGCAUCGGCCGUCCGAAUGACAUGCAAACACACACAUAGAAUUGCGUAGCUAAUAGACACGAAUUAGAACUUACGGGACUCGAUUCUGACAUACGGAGACCGAGUUAUCGCCCAAUUUGCAAAACUCGCCAACACUUAGGCAAAAAGCUGAAAAAGAGGUUAAAAACCCGCAUCGGCCGUUCGAAUGACACGCAAACACACACAUAACACCGCGUAGGUAAUAGACAUGCAUUAGAACUUACGGGACUCGAUUCCGACAUACAGAGACUGAGUUAUCGCCCAGUUUGCAAAACUCGCCAACACUUAGGCAAAAAGUCAAAAAGGGGGUCAAAACUCGCAUCGGUAGUCCGAAUGACACACAAAAACACUAAUAGCACCGCGUAGGUAAUAGACACGUGUUAGAACUUACGGGACUCGAUUCUGACAUACGGAGACCGAGUUAUCGCGGAGUUUGCAAAACUCGCCAACACUUGGGCAAAAAGCCGAAAAAGAGGUCAAAACCCGCAUCUGCCGUCUGAAUGACACGAAUACACACAUAUAGCACCGUGCAGGUAAUAGACACGCGUUAGAACUUACAGGACUCAAUUCUGACAUACGGAGAUCGAGUAAUUGUUCAGUUUGCAAAACUCGCCAACACUUAGGCAAAAAGCCGAAAAAGAGGUCAAAACUCGCAUCGGUCGUCCGAAUGACAUGCAAACACAAACAUAGAACCGCGCAGGUAAUAGACACGCAUUAGAACUUAUGCGACUCGAUUCUGACAUACGGAGAUCGAGUUAUCGCUCAGUUUGCAAAACUCGCCAACACUUAGGCAAAAAGUCGAAAAAGGGGUCAAAACUCGUAUCGGUCGUCCGAAUGACACGCCAACACACUAAUAGCACCGCGUAGGUAAUAGACACGCGUUAGACCUUAUGGGAAUCGAUUUUGACAUAUGGAGACCGAGUUAUCGCCCAAUUUGCAAAACUCGCCAACACUUAGGCAAAAAGCCAAAAAAGAGGUCAAAACCCGCAUCGGCCGUCCGAAUGACACGCAAACACACACAUAGCACCGCGUAGAUAAUUGACACGCAUAAGAACUUAUGGGACUCGAUUCUGACAUAUGGAGACCGAGUUAUCGCCCAGUUUGCAAAACUCGCCAAGACUUAGGCAAAAAGCCGAAAAAGAGGUCAAAACCCGCAUCGGCCGUCCGAAUGACACACAAACACACACAUAACACCGCGUAGGUAAUAGACACGCAUUAAAACUUAUGGGACUCGAUUCCGACAUACGGAGACCGAGUUAUCGCCCAGUUUGAAAAACUCGCCAACACUUGGGCAGAAAGCCAAAAAAGAGGUCAAAACCCGGAUCGGCUGUCCGAAUGACAUGCAAACACACACAUAGAACCGCGUAGGUAAUUGACACGCAUUAGAACUUACGGUACUCAAUUUUGACAUAUGGAGACCGAGUUAUUACCCAGUUUGCAAAACUCGCCAACACUUAGGCAAAAACACGAAAAAGAGGUCCAAACCCGCAUCGGUCGUCCGAAUGACACACAAACACACACAUAGCACAGUGUAGGUAAUAGACACACGUUAGAACUUUCGGGACUCGAUUCAGACAUACGGAGACUGAGUUAUCGCCCAGUUUGAAAAACUCGCCAACACUUAGGCAAAAAGUCGAAAAAGGGGUCAAAACUCGCAUCGGUCGUCCGAAUGACAUGCAAACAAACUAAUAGCAUCGCGUAGGUAAUAGACACGCGUUAGAACUUACGGGACUCGAUUCCGACAUACGUAGACCGAGUUAUCGCGGAGUUUGCAAAACUCGCCAACACUUAGGCAAAAAGCCGAAAAAGAGGUCAAAACCCGCAUUUGCCGUCCGAAUGACACGCAAACACACAUAUAGCACCGUGUAGGUAAUAGACAUGCGUUAGAACUUAUGGGACUCGAUUCUGACAUACAGAGACUGAGUUAUUGCCCAGUUUGCAAAACCCGCCAACACUUAGGCAAAAAGCCGAAAAAGAGGUCAAAUCUCACAUCGGCCGUCCGAAUGACAUGCAAACACACACAUAGAACCGCGUGGGUAAUAGACACGCAUUAGAACUUACGGGACUCGAUUCCGACAUACGGAGACCGAGUUAUCGCCCAAUUUGUAAAACCCGCCAACACUUAGGCAAAAAGCUGAAAAAGAGGUCAAAAACCCGCAUCGGCCGUUCGAAUGACACGCAAACACACACAUAACACCGCGUAGGUAAUUGACAUGCAUUAGAACUUACGGGACUCAAUUCCGACAUACGGAGACUGAGUUAUUGCCCAGUUUGCAAAACUCGCCAACACUUAGGCAAAAAGUCAAAAAAUGGGUCAAAACUCGCAUCGGUAGUCCGAAUGACACGCAAACUAACUAAUAGCACCGCGUAGGUAAUAGACACGCGUUAGAACUUACGAGACUCGAUUCUGACAUACAGAGACCGAGUUAUCGCGGAGUUUGCAAAACUCGCCAACACUUGGGCAAAAAGCCGAAAAGAGGUCAAAACCCGCAUCUGCCAUCCGAAUGACACAAAUACACACAUAUAGCACCGUGCAGGUAAUAGACACGCGUUAGAACUUACGGGACUCGAUUCUGACAUAUGGAGACCCAGUUAUUGCCCAGUUUGCAAAACUCGCAAACACUUAAGCAAAAAGCCGAAAAAGAGGUCAAAACUCGCAUCGGCCCUCCGAAUGACAUGCAAACACACACAUAGAACUGCAUAGGUAAUAGACACGCAUUAGAACUUACGGGACUCGAUUCCGACAAACGGAGACCGAGUUAUCGCCUAAUUUGCAAAACACGCCAACACUUAGGCAAAAAGAGGAAAAAGAGGUCAAAAACCCGCAUCGGCCGUUCGAAUGACACGCAAACACACACAUAACACCGCGUAUGUAAUUGUCAUGCAUUAGAACUUACAGGACUCGAUUCCGACAUACGGAGACUGAUUUAUCGCGGAGUUUGUAAAACUCACCAACACUUGGGCAAAAAGCCGAAAAAUAGGUCAAAACCCGCAUCGGCCGUCCGAAUGACACGCAAACAUACAUAGCACCGCGUAGGUAAUUGACACGCGUAAGAACUUACGGUACUCGAUUCUGAUAUAUGGAGACUGAGUUAUCGCCCAGUUUGCAAAACUUGCCAACAAUUAGGCAAAAUGACGAAAAAUAGGUCAAAACCCGCAUAGGCCGUCUGAAUGACACGCAAACACACACAUAGAACCGCGUAGGUAAUUGACACACAUUAGAACUUACGGUACUCGAUUUCGACAUAUGGAGACCGAGUUAUCACCCAGUUUGCAAAACUCACCAAUACUUAGGUAAAAAGACGAAAAAGAGGUCAAAACCCGCAUCGGCCGUCCGAAUGACACACAAACACACACAUAGCACCGCGUAGGUAAUAGACACGCGUUAGAACUUACGGGACUCGAUUCCGACAUACGAAGACUGAGUUAUCGCCUAGUUUGCAAAACUCGCCAACACUUAAGCAAAAAGUCGAAAAAGGGGUCAAAACUCGCAUCGGUCGUCCGAAUGACACGCAAACACACACAUAGCAUCGCGUAGGUAAUAGACACGCGUUAGAACUUACGGGACUAGAUUCCGACAUACGAAGACCGAGUUAUCGCGGAGUUUGCAAAACUCGCCAAUACUUAGGCAAAAAGCCGAAAAAGAGGUCAAAACCCGCAUCUGUCGUUCGUAUGACACGUAAACACAAAUAUAACACCGUGUAGGUAAUAGACACACCUUAGAACUUACGGGACUCGAUUCCGACAUACGGAGACUUAGUUAUCGCCCAGUUUGCAAAACUCGCCAACACUUAGUCAAAAAGUGAAAAAGGGGUAAAAACUCGCAUCGGUAGUCCGAAUGACACGCAAACACACUAAUAGCACCGCGUAGGUAAUAGACAUGCGUUAGACCUUACGGGACUCGAUUCUGACAUACGGAGACCGAGUUAUAGCGGAGUUUGCAAAACUCGUCAACACUUGGGCAAAAAGCCGAAAAAGAGGUCAAAACCCGCAUCUGCCGUUCGUAUGACACGCAAACACACAUAUAGCACCGUGUAGGUAAUAGACACGCCUUAGAACUUACGGGACUCGAUUCUGACAUACGGAGACUUAGUUAUCGCCCAGUUUGCAAAACUCGCCAAUACUUAGGCAAAAAGUCGAAAAAGGGGUAAAAACUCGCAUCGGUAGUCCGAAUGACACGCAAACACCCUAAUAGCACCGCGUAGGUAAUAGACACGCGUUAGAAGUUACGGGACUCGAUUCUGACAUACGGAGACCGAGUUAUAGCGGAGUUUACAAAACUCGCCAACAGUUGGGCAAAAAGCCAAAAAAGAGGUCAAAACCCGGAUCGGCCGUCCGAAUGACAUGCAAACACACACAUAGAACCGUGUAGGUAAUUGACACGCAUUAGAACUUACGGUACUCAAUUUUGACAUAUGGAGACCGAGUUAUUACCCAGUUUGCAAAACUCGCCAACACUUAGGCAAAAACACGAAAAAGAGGUCAAAACCCGCAUCGGCCGUUCGAAUGACACACAAACAAACACAUAACACAACGUAGGUAAUAGACACGCGUUAGAACUUACGGGACUCGAUUCAGACAUACGGAGACUGAGUUAUCGCCCAGUUUGAAAAACUCACCAACAAUUAGGAAAAAUGUCGAAAAAGGGGUCAAAACUCGCAUCGGUCGUCUGAAUGACACGCAAACACACUAAUAGGAUCGCGUAGGUAAUAGACACGCGUUAGAACUUACGGGACUCGAUUCCGACAUACGGAGACCGAGUUAUCGCGGAGUUUGCAAAACUCGCCAACACUUAGGCAAAAAGCCGAAAAAGAGGUCAAAACUCGCAUCGGCCCUCCGAAUGACAUGCAAACACACACAUAGCACCGCGUAGGUAAUAGACACGCGUUAGAACUGACAGGACUCGAUUCUGAUAAACGGAGACCGAGUUAUCGCCUAAUUUGCAAAACUCGCCAACACUUAGGCAAAAAGCCGAAAAAGAGGUCAAAACUCGCAUCGGCCCUCCGAAUGACAUGCAAACACACACAUAGCACCGCGUAGGUAAUAGACACGCGUUAGAACUGACAGGACUCGAUUCUGAUAAACGGAGACCGAGUUAUCGCCUAAUUUGCAAAACUCGCCAACACUUAGGCAAAAAGCCGAAAAAGAGGUCAAAACUCGCAUCGGCCCUCCGAAUGACAUGCAAACACACACAUAGCACCGCGUAGGUAAUAGACACGCGUUAGAACUGACAGGACUCGAUUCUGAUAAACGGAGACCGAGUUAUCGCCUAAUUUGCAAAACUCGCCAACACUUAGGCAAAAAGCCGAAAAAGAGGUCAAAACUCGCAUCGGCCCUCCGAAUGACAUGCAAACACACACAUAGCACCGCGUAGGUAAUAGACACGCGUUAGAACUGACAGGACUCGAUUCUGAUAAACGGAGACCGAGUUAUCGCCUAAUUUGCAAAACUCGCCAACACUUAGGCAAAAAGCCGAAAAAGAGGUCAAAACUCGCAUCGGCCCUCCGAAUGACAUGCAAACACACACAUAGAACCGCGUAGGUAAUAGACACGCAUUAGAACUUACGGGACACGAUUCCAACAUAUGGAGACCGAGUUAUCGCCUAGUUGGCAAAACUCGCCAACACUUAGGCAAAAAGAUGAAAAAUAGGUCAAAACCCGCAUCGGUCUUCUGAAUGACACGUAAACACACACAUAACACCGCGUAGGUAAUUGUCAUGUAUUAGAACUUACAGGACUCGAUUCCGACAUACGGAGACUGAUUUAUAGGCCAGGUUGCAAAACUUGUUAACUCUUAGGCAAAAAGCCGAAAAAGAGGUCAAAACCCGCAUCUGCCAUUCGUAUGACACGCAAACACACAUAUAGCACCGUGUAGGUAAUAGACACGCCUUAGAACUUACGGGACUCGAUUCUGACAUACAGAGACCGAGUUAUUGCCCAGUUUGCAAAACUCGCCAAUACUUAGGCAAAAAGUCGAAAAAGGGGUAAAAACUCGCAUCGGUAGUCCGAAUGACACGCAAACACCCUAAUAGCACCGCGUAGGUAAUAGACAUCGGAGACCGAGUUAUCGCCCAAUUUGUAAAACCCGCCAACACUUAGGCAAAAACACGAAAAAGAGGUCAAAACCCGGAUCGGCCGUCCGAAUGACAUGCAAACACACACAUAGAACCGCGUAGGUAAUUGACAUGCAUUAGAACUUACGGGACUCGAUUCUGACAUACAGAGACCGAGUUAUUGCCCAGUUUGCAAAACUCGCCAAUACUUAGGCAAAAAGUCGAAAAAGGGGUAAAAACUCGCAUCGGUAGUCCGAAUGACACGCAAACACCCUAAUAGCACCGCGUAGGUAAUAGACAUCGGAGACCGAGUUAUCGCCCAAUUUGUAAAACCCGCCAACACUUAGGCAAAAACACGAAAAAGAGGUCAAAACCCGGAUCGGCCGUCCGAAUGACAUGCAAACACACACAUAGAACCGCGUAGGUAAUUGACAUGCAUUAGAACUUACGGGACUCGAUUCUGACAUACAGAGACCGAGUUAUUGCCCAGUUUGCAAAACUCGCCAAUACUUAGGCAAAAAGUCGAAAAAGGGGUAAAAACUCGCAUCGGUAGUCCGAAUGACACGCAAACACCCUAAUAGCACCGCGUAGGUAAUAGACAUCGGAGACCGAGUUAUCGCCCAAUUUGUAAAACCCGCCAACACUUAGGCAAAAACACGAAAAAGAGGUCAAAACCCGGAUCGGCCGUCCGAAUGACAUGCAAACACACACAUAGAACCGCGUAGGUAAUUGACAUGCAUUAGAACUUACGGGACUCGAUUCUGACAUACAGAGACCGAGUUAUUGCCCAGUUUGCAAAACUCGCCAAUACUUAGGCAAAAAGUCGAAAAAGGGGUAAAAACUCGCAUCGGUAGUCCGAAUGACACGCAAACACACACAUAACACCGCGUAGGUAAUUGACAUGCAUUAGAACUUACGGGACUCGAUUCCGACAUACGGAGACUGAGUUAUUGCCCAGUUUGUAAAACUCGCCAACACUUAGGCAAAAAGUCAAAAAGGGGUAAAUACUCGAAUCGGUAGUCCGAAUGACACGCAAACACACUAAUAGCACCGUGUUAUCGCGGAGUUUGCAAAACUCACCAACACUUGGGCAAAAAGCCGAAAAAGAGGUCAAAACCGCAUCUGUCGUCCGAAUGACACGAAUACACACAUAUAGCACCGUGCAGGUAAUAGACACGCGUUAGAACUUACGGGACUCGAUUUUGACAUAUGGAGACCGAGUUAUUGCCCAGUUUGCAAAACUCGCCAACACUUAGGCAAAAAGCCGAAAAAGAGGUCAAAACUCGCAUCGGCCCUCCGAAUGACAUGCAAACACACACAUAGAACCGCGUAGGUAAUAUACACGCAUUAGAACUUACGGGACUCGAUUCCAACAUAUGGAGACCGAGUUAUCGCCUAGUUUGCAAAACUCGCCAACACUUAGGCAAAAAGACGAAAAAAUAGGUCAAAACCCGCAUCGGUCUUCUGAAUGACACGUAAACACACACAUAACACCGCGUAGGUAAUUGUCAUGUAUUAGAACUUACAGGACUCGAUUCCGACAUACGGAGACUGAUUUAUCGCCCAGUUUGCAAAACUUGCUAACUCUUAGGUAAAAAGACGAAAAACAGGUCAAAACCCGCAUCGGCCGUCCGAAUGACACGCAAACACACACAUAGCACCGCGUAGGUAAUUGACACGCGUAAGAACUUACGGGACUCGAUUCCGACAUACGGACACUAAGGUAUCCCCCAGUUUGCAAAACUCGCCAACAAUUAGGCAAAAAGACGAAAAAUAGGUCAAAACCCGCAUCGGCCGUCCGAAUGACACACAAACACACACAUAGCACCGCGUAAGUAAUAGACACGCGUUAGAAGUUACGGGACUCGAUUCCGACAUACGAAGACUGAGUUAUCGCCCAGUUUGCAAUACUCGCCAACACUUAGGCAAAAAGACGAAAAUAGGUCAAAACCCGCAUCGGUCGUCCGAAUGACACGCAAUCACACACAUAGCAUCGCGUAGGUAAUAGACACGCGUUAGAACUUACGGGACUCGAUUCCGACAUACGGAGACCGAGUUAUCGCGGAGUUUGCAAAACUCGCCAACACUUAGGCAAAAAGCCGAAAAAGAGGUCAAAACCCUCAUCUGCCGUUCUUAUGACACGCAAACACACAUAUAGCAUCGUGUAGGUAAUAGACACGCCUUAGAACUUACGGGACUCGAUUCCGACAUACGGAGACUUAGUUAUCGCCCAGUUUGCAAAACUCGCCAACACUUAGGCAAAAAGUCAAAAAAGGGGUAAAAACUCGCAUCGGUAGUACGAAUGACACGCAAACACACUAAUAGCACCGCGUAGGUAAUAGACACGAGUUAGAACUUACGGGACUCGAUUCCGACAUACGGAGACCAAGUUAUCGCGGGGUUUGCAAAACUCGCCAACACUUAGGCAAAAAGUCGAAAAAGAGGUCAAAACCCGCAUCUGCCGUCCGAAUGACACGCAAACACACAUAUAGCACUGUUUAGGUAAUAGACACGCGUUAGAACUUACGGGACUCGAUUUUGACGUACGGAGACCGAGUUAUUGCCCAGUUUGCAAAACUCGCCAACCCUUAGGCAAAAAGCUGAAAAAGAGUUCAAAACUCGCAUCGGCCGUCCGAAUGACAUACAAAUACACACAUAGAAACGCGUGGGUAAUUGACACGCAUUAGAACUUACGGGACUCGAUUCCGACAUACGGAGACCGAGUUAUCGUCCAAUUUGCAAAACUCGCCAAUACUUAGGCAAAAAGCUGAAAAAGAGGUCAAAAACCCGCAUCGGCCAUUCGAAUGACACGCAUACACACACAUAACACCGCGUAGGUAAUAGACAUGCAUUAGAACUUACGGGACUCGAUUCCGACAUACGGAGACCGAGUUAUCGCGGAGUUUGCAAAACUCGCCAACACUUGGGCAAAAAGCCGAAAAGAGGUCAAAACCCGCAUCGGCCGUUCGAAUGACACGCAAACACACUAAUAGCACCGCGUAGGUAAUAGACACGCGUUAGAACUUACGGGACUCGAUUCCGACAUACGGAGACCGAGUUAUCGCGGAGUUUGCAAAACUCGCCAACACUUGGGCAAAAAGCCGAAAAGAGGUCAAAACCCGCAUCUGCCGUCCGAAUGAUACGAAUACACACAUAUAGCACCGUGCUGGUAAUAGACACGCGUUAGAACUUACGGGACUCGAUUCUGACAUACGGGGUCCGAGUUAUUGCCCAGUUUGCAAAACUCGCCAACACUUAGGCAAAAAGCCAAAAAAGAGGUCAAAACUCGUAUCGGCCGUCCGAAUGACAUGCAAACACAAACAUAGAACCGCGUAGGUAAUAGACACGCAUUAGAACUUACGGGACUCGAUUCCGACAUACGGAGACUGAGUUAUCGCCCAGUUUGCAAAACUCGCCAACACUUAGGCAAAAAGACGAAAAACAGGUCAAAACCCGCAUCGGCCGUUUGAAUGACACGCAAACACACACAUAGCACCGCCUAGGUAAUAGACACGCGUUAGAACUUACGGGACUCGAUUCCGACAUAAGGAGACCGAGUUAUCGCCCAGUUUGCAAAACUCGCCAACACUUAGGCAAAAAGCCAAAAAAGAGGUCAAAACCCGCAUCGGUCGUCUGAAUGACACAAAAAUACACACAUAGCACCGCGUAGGUACUAGACUCGCGUUAGAACUUGCGGGACUCGAUUCAGACAUACGGAGACUGAGUUAUCGCCCAGUUUGAAAAACUCGUCAUCACUUAGGCAAAAAGUCGAAAAAGAAAUCAAAACCCGUAUCGGCCGUCCGAAUGAGACACAAACACACACAUAGCACCACAUAGGUAAUAGACAUGCCUUAGAACUUACGGGACUCGAUUCUGACAUACGGAGACUGAGUUAUCGCCCAGUUUGCAAAACUCGCCAAGACUUACGCAAAAAGCCGAAAAAGAGGUCAAAACCCGCAUCGGCCGUCUGAAUGACACACAAAUACACACAUAGCACCGCGUAGGUACUAGACACGCGUUAGAACUUACGGGACUCAAUUCAGACAUACGGAGACUGAGUUAUCGCCCAGUUUGAAAAACUCGUCAUCACUUAGGCAAAAAGUUGAAAAAGAAAUCAAAACCCGUAUCGGCCGUCCGAAUGAGACGCAAACACACACAUAGCACCACAUAGGUAAUAGACAUGCCUUAGAACUUACGGGACUCGAUUCAGACAUACGGAGACUGAGUUAUCGCCCAGUUUGAAAAACUCGUCAUCACUUAGGCAAAAAGUCGAAAAAGAAAUCAAAACCCGUAUCGGCCGUCCGAAUGACACACAAACACACACAUAAUACCGCGUAGGUAAUAGACACACGUUAGAAUUUACGGGACUCGAUUCCGACAUACGGAGACCGAGUUAUUGUCCAGUUUACAAAACACGCCAACACUUGGGCAAAAAGCCAAAAAAGAGGUCAAAACCCGGAUCGACCAUCCGAAUGACAUGCAAACACACACAUAGAACCGCGUAGGUAAUUGACAUGCAUUAGAACUUACGGUACUCAAUUUUGACAUACGGAGACCGAGUUAUCGCCCAAUUUGUAAAACUCGCCAACACUUGGGAAAAAAGCUGAAAAAGAGAUCAAAAACCCGCAUCGGCCGUUCGAAUGACACACAAACACACACAUAACACCGCGUAGGUAAUAGACAUGCAUUAGAACUCACGGGACUCGAUUCCGACAUACGGAGACUGAGUUAUCGCCCAGUUUGAAAAACUCGCCAACACUUAGGCAAAAAGUCGAAAAAGGGGUCAAAACUAGCAUCGGUCGUCCGAAUGACACGCAAACACACUAAUAGCAUCGCGUAGGUAAUAGACACGCGUUAGAACUUACGGGAUUCGAUUCCGACAUACGGAGACCGAGUUAUCGCGGAGUUUGCAAAACUCGCCAACACUUGGGCAAAAAGUCGAAAAAGAGGUCAAAACCCGCAUCUGCCGUCCGAAUGACACGAAUACACACAUAUAGCACCGUGCAGGUAAUAGACACGCGUUAGAACUUACGGGACUCGAUUCUGACAUACGGAGACCGAGUUAUCGCCCAGUUUGCAAAACUCGCCAAGACUUAGGCAAAAAGUUGAAAAAGAGGUCAAAACUCGCAUCGGCCGUCCGAAUGACACGCAAACACACACAUAGAACCGCGUGGGUAAUAGACACGCAUUAGAACUUACGGUACUCGAUUCCGACAUACGGAGACCGAGUUAUCGCCCAAUUUGUAAAACCGGCCAACACUUAGGCAAAAAGCUGAAAAAGAGGUCAAAGACCCGCAUCGGCCGUUCGAAUGACACGGAAACACACACAUAACACCGCGUAGGUAAUAGACAUGCAUUAGAACUUACGGGACUCGAUUCCGACAUACGGAGACUGAGUUAUUGCCUAGUUUGCAAAACUCGCCAACACUUAGGCAAAAAGUUAAAAAAGGGGUCAAAACUCGCAUCGGUAGUCCGAAUGACACGCAAACACACUAAUAGCACCGCGUAGGUAAUAGAAAUGCGUUAGAACUUACGGGACUCGAUUCCGACAUACGGAGACCGAGUCAUCGCGGAGUUUAAAAAACUCGCCAACACUUGGGCAAAAAGCCGAAAAAGAGGUCAAAACCCGCAUCUGCCGUCCGAAUGACACGAAUACACACAUAUAGCACCGCGUUGGUAAUAGACACGCGUUAGAACUUACGGGAUUCGAUUCUGACAUACGGAGACCGAGUUAUUGCCCAGUUUGCAAAACUCGCCAACACUUAGGUAAAAAGCCGAAAAAGAGGUCAAAACUCACAUCGGCCGUCCGAAUGACAUGCAAACACACACAUAGAACCGCGUGGGUAAUAGACACGCAUUAGAACUUACGGGACUCGAUUCCGACAUACGGAGACCAAGUUAUCGCCCAAUUUGUGAAACUCGCCAACACUUAGGCAAAAAGCUGAAAAGAGGUCAAAAACCCGCAUCGGCCGUUCGAAUGACACGCAAACACACACAUAACACCGCGUAGGUAAUAGACAUGCAUUAGAACUUACGGGACUCGAUUCCGACAUACGGAGACUGAGUUAUCGCCCAGUUUGCAAAACUCGCCAACACUUAGGCGAAAAGUCAAAAAAAGGGUCAAAACUCGCAUCGGUAGUCCGAAUGACACGCAAACACACUAAUAGCACCGCGUAGGUAAUAGACACGCGUUAGAACUUACGGGACUCGAUUCCGACAUACGGAGACCGAGUUAUCGCGGAUUUUGCAAAACUCGCCAACACUCGGGCAAAAAGCCGAAAAAGAGGUCAAAACCCGCAUCUGCCGUCCGAAUGACACGAAUACAGACAUAUAGCACCGUGCAGGUAAUAGACAUGCGUUAGAACUUACGGGACUCGAUUCUGACAUACGAAGACCGAGUUAUUGCCCAGUUUGCAAAACUCCCCAAUACUUAGGCAAAAAGACGAAAAAGAGGUCAAAACUUGCAUCGGCCAUCCGAAUGACAUGCAAACACACACAUAGAACUGCGUGGGUAAUAGACACGCAUUAGAACUUACGGGACUCGAUUCCGACAUACGGAGACCGAGUUAUCGCCUAGUUUGCAAAACUCGCCAACACUUAGGAAAAAAGACAAAAAAUAGGUCAAAACCUGCAUCGGUCGUCUGAAUGACACGCAAACACACACAUAACACCGCGUAGGUAAUAGUCAUGCAUUAGAACUUACGGGACUCGAUUCCGACAUACGGAGACUGAUUUAUCGCCCAGUUUGAAAAACUUGCCAACACUUAGGCAAAAAGACGAAAAAUAGGUCAAAACCCGCAUCGGCCGUCCGAAUGACACGCAAACACACACAUAGCACCGCGUAGGUAAUUGACACGCAUAAGAACUUACGGGAUUCGAUUCCGACAUACGGAGACUGAGUUAUCGCCAAGUUUGCAAAACUCGCAAACACUUAGGCAAAAAGCAAAAAAAGAGGUCAAAACUCGCAUCGGCCAUCCGAAUGACAUGCAAACACACACAUAGAACCGCGUAGGUAAUUGACACGCAUUAGAACUAAUGGGACUCGAUUCCGACAUACGAAGACUGAGUUAUCGCCCAGUUUGCAAAACUCGCCAAGACUUAGGCAAGAAGCCAAAAAAGAGGUCAAAACCCGCAUCGGCCGUCCGAAUGACACGCAAACACAUACAUAGCACCGCGUAGGUAAUUGACACGCAUUAGAACUAAUGGGACUCGAUUCCGACAUACGAAGACUGAGUUAUCGCCCAGUUUGCAAAACUCGCCAAGACUUAGGCAAGAAGCCAAAAAAGAGGUCAAAACCCGCAUCGGCCGUCCGAAUGACACGCAAACACAUACAUAGCACCGCGUAGGUAAUUGACACGCAUUAGAACUAAUGGGACUCGAUUCCGACAUACGAAGACUGAGUUAUCGCCCAGUUUGCAAAACUCGCCAAGACUUAGGCAAGAAGCCAAAAAAGAGGUCAAAACCCGCAUCGGCCGUCCGAAUGACACGCAAACACAUACAUAGCACCGCGUAGGUAAUUGACACGCAUUAGAACUAAUGGGACUCGAUUCCGACAUACGAAGACUGAGUUAUCGCCCAGUUUGCAAAACUCGCCAAGACUUAGGCAAGAAGCCAAAAAAGAGGUCAAAACCCGCAUCGGCCGUCCGAAUGACACACAAACACACACAUAGCACCGCGUAGGUAAUAGACACGCGUUAGAACUUACGGGACUCGAUUUCGACAUACGAAGACUGAGUUAUCGCCCAAUUUGCAAAACUCGCCAACACUUAAGCAAAAAGUUAAAAAAGGGGUCAAAACUCGCAUCGGUCGUCCGAAUGACACACCAACACACUAAUAGAACCGCGUAGGUAAUAGACACGCGUUAGAACUUACGGGACUUGAUUCCGACAUACGGAGACUGAGUUAUCGCCCAGUUUGCAAAACUCGCCAACACUUGGGCAAAAAGACGAAAAAGAGGUCAAAACCCGCAUCGGCUGUCCGAAUGACACACAAACACUCACAUAGCACCGCGUAGGUAAUAGACACGCGAUAGAACUUACGGGACUCGAUUCCGACAUACGAAGACUGAGUUAUCGCCCAGUUUGCAAAACUCGCCAACACUUAGGCAGAAAGCCUAAAAAGAGGUCAAAACCCGCAUCUGCCGUCCGAAUGACACACAAACACACACAUAUAGCACCGUGUAGGUAAUAGACACGCCUUAGAACUUAAAGGACUCGAUUCUGACGUACGGAGACCGAGUUAUUGCCCAGUUUGCAAAACUCGCCAACACUUAGGCAAAAAGUCGAAAAGAGGUCAAAACCCGCAUCGGCCGUCCGAAUGACACGCAAACACACUAAUAGCACCGCGUAGGUAAGAGACACGCGUUAGAACUUAUGGGACUCGAUUUUGACAUAUGGAGACCGAGUUAUCGCCCAAUUUGCAAAACUCGCCAACACUUAGGCAGAAAGCCUAAAAGAGGUCAAAACCCGCAUCGGCCGUCCGAAUGACACGCAAACACACUAAUAGCACCGCGUAGGUAAGAGACACGCGUUAGAACUUAUGGGACUCGAUUUUGACAUAUGGAGACCGAGUUAUCGCCCAAUUUGCAAAACUCGCCAACACUUAGGCAGAAAGCCUAAAAGAGGUCAAAACCCGCAUCGGCCGUCCGAAUGACACGCAAACACACUAAUAGCACCGCGUAGGUAAGAGACACGCGUUAGAACUUAUGGGACUCGAUUUUGACAUAUGGAGACCGAGUUAUCGCCCAAUUUGCAAAACUCGCCAACACUUAGGCAGAAAGCCUAAAAGAGGUCAAAACCCGCAUCGGCCGUCCGAAUGACACGCAAACACACUAAUAGCACCGCGUAGGUAAGAGACACGCGUUAGAACUUAUGGGACUCGAUUUUGACAUAUGGAGACCGAGUUAUCGCCCAAUUUGCAAAACUCGCCAACACUUAGGCAGAAAGCCUAAAAGAGGUCAAAACCCGCAUCGGCCGUCCGAAUGACACGCAAACACACUAAUAGCACCGCGUAGGUAAGAGACACGCGUUAGAACUUAUGGGACUCGAUUUUGACAUAUGGAGACCGAGUUAUCGCCCAAUUUGCAAAACUCGCCAACACUUAGGCAGAAAGCCUAAAAGAGGUCAAAACCCGCAUCGGCCGUCCGAAUGACACGCAAACACACUAAUAGCACCGCGUAGGUAAGAGACACGCGUUAGAACUUAUGGGACUCGAUUUUGACAUAUGGAGACCGAGUUAUCGCCCAAUUUGCAAAACUCGCCAACACUUAGGCAGAAAGCCUAAAAGAGGUCAAAACCCGCAUCGGCCGUCCGAAUGACACGCAAACACACUAAUAGCACCGCGUAGGUAAGAGACACGCGUUAGAACUUAUGGGACUCGAUUUUGACAUAUGGAGACCGAGUUAUCGCCCAAUUUGCAAAACUCGCCAACACUUAGGCAGAAAGCCUAAAAGAGGUCAAAACCCGCAUCGGCCGUCCGAAUGACACGCAAACACACUAAUAGCACCGCGUAGGUAAGAGACACGCGUUAGAACUUAUGGGACUCGAUUUUGACAUAUGGAGACCGAGUUAUCGCCCAAUUUGCAAAACUCGCCAACACUUAGGCAGAAAGCCUAAAAGAGGUCAAAACCCGCAUCGGCCGUCCGAAUGACACGCAAACACACUAAUAGCACCGCGUAGGUAAGAGACACGCGUUAGAACUUAUGGGACUCGAUUUUGACAUAUGGAGACCGAGUUAUCGCCCAAUUUGCAAAACUCGCCAACACUUAGGCAGAAAGCCUAAAAGAGGUCAAAACCCGCAUCGGCCGUCCGAAUGACACGCAAACACACUAAUAGCACCGCGUAGGUAAGAGACACGCGUUAGAACUUAUGGGACUCGAUUUUGACAUAUGGAGACCGAGUUAUCGCCCAAUUUGCAAAACUCGCCAACACUUAGGCAGAAAGCCUAAAAGAGGUCAAAACCCGCAUCGGCCGUCCGAAUGACACGCAAACACACUAAUAGCACCGCGUAGGUAAGAGACACGCGUUAGAACUUAUGGGACUCGAUUUUGACAUAUGGAGACCGAGUUAUCGCCCAAUUUGCAAAACUCGCCAACACUUAGGCAAAAAGUCGAAAAAGGGGUCAAAACUCGCAUCGGACUCGAUUCCGACAUACCGAAACUGAGUUAUCGCCCAGUUUGCAAAACUCGCCAACACUUAGGCAAAAAGACAAAAAAUAGGUCAAAACCCGCAUCGGCUGUCUGAAUGACACACAAACACACACAUAGCACCGCGUAGGUAAUAGACACGCGUUAGAACUUACGGGACUCGAUUCCGACAUACGGAGACUGAGUUAUCGCCCAGUUUGCAAAACUCGCCAACACUUAGGCAAAAAGACGAAAAAGGGGUCAAAACUCGCAUCGGUUGUCCGAAUGACACGCCAACACACUAAUAGCACCGCGUAGGUAAUAUACACGCAUUAGAACUUACGGGACUCGAUUCCGACAUACGGAGACCGAGUUAUCGCCGAGUUUGCAAAACUCGCCAACACUUAGGCAAAAAGCCAAAAAAGAGGUCAAAACCCGCAUCUGCCGUCCCAAUGACACGCAAACACACAUAUAGCACCGUGUAGGUAAUAGACACGCGUUAGAACUUACGGGACUCGAUUCAGACAUACGGGGACUAAGUUAUCGCCCAGUUUGAAAAACUCGCCAACAUUUAGGCAAAAAGUCGAAAAAGGGGUCAAAACUCGCAUCGUUCGUCCGAAUGACACGCAAACACACUAAUAGCACCGCGUAGGUAAUAGACACACGUUAGAACUUACGGGACUCGAUUCCGACAUACAAAGACUGAGUUAUCGCGGAGUUUGCAAAACUCGCCAACACUUGGGCAAAAAGACGAAAAAGAGGUCAAAACCCGCAUCUGCCGUCGAAUGACACGAAUACACACAUAUAGCACCGUGCAGGUAAUAGACACGCAUUAGAACUUACGGGACUCGAUUCUGACAUACGGAGACCGAGUUAUUGCCCAGUUUGCAAAACUCGCCAACACUUAGGCAAAUAGCCGAAAAAGAGGUCAAAACUCACAUCGGGCAUCCGAAUGACAUACAAACACACACAUAGAACUGCGUAGGUAAUAGACACGCAUUAGAACUUACGGGACUCGAUUCCGACAUACGGAGACCGAGUUAUCGCGGAGUUUGCAAAACUCACCAACACUUAGGCAAAAAGCCGAAAAAGAGGUCAAAACCCGCAUCGGCCGUCCGAAUGACACGCAAACACACUAAUAGCACCGCGUAGGUAAUAGACACGCGUUAGAACUUAGUUAUUGCCCAGUUUGCAAAACUCGCCAACACUUAAGCAAAAAGUCGAAAAAGGGGUCAAAACGCGCAUCGGUCGUCCGAAUGACAUGCCAACACACUAAUAGCACCGCUUAGGGAAUAGACACGUGUUAGAACUUAUGGGACUCGAUUUUGACAUACGGAGACCGAGUUAUCGCGGAGUUUGCAAAACUCACCAACACUUAGGCAAAAAGCCGAAAAAGAGGUCAAAACCCGCAUCGGCCGUCCGAAUGACACGCAAACACACUAAUAGCACCGCGUAGGUAAUAGACACGCGUUAGAACUUAGUUAUUGCCCAGUUUGCAAAACUCGCCAACACUUAAGCAAAAAGUCGAAAAAGGGGUCAAAACGCGCAUCGGUCGUCCGAAUGACAUGCCAACACACUAAUAGCACCGCUUAGGGAAUAGACACGUGUUAGAACUUAUGGGACUCGAUUUUGACAUACGGAGACCGAGUUAUCGCGGAGUUUGCAAAACUCACCAACACUUAGGCAAAAAGCCGAAAAAGAGGUCAAAACCCGCAUCGGCCGUCCGAAUGACACGCAAACACACACAUAGCAUCGCGUAGGUAAUAGACACGCGUUAGAACUUACGGGACUUGAUUCCGACAUACGGAGACCGAGUUAUCGCGGAGUUUGCAAAACUCACCAACACUUAGGCAAAAAGCCGAAAAAGAGGUCAAAACCCGCAUCUGCCGUCCGAAUGACACACAAACACACAUAUAGCACCGUGUAGGUAAUAGACACGCCUUAGAACUUACGGGACUCGAUUCUGACGUACGGAGACCGAGUUAUUGCCCAGUUUGCAAAACUCGCCAAUACUUAGGCAAAAAGUCGAAAAAGGGGUCAAAACGCGCAUCGGUCGUCCGAAUGACAUGCCAACACACUAAUAGCACCGCUUAGGUAAUAGACACGUGUUAGAACUUAUGGGACUCGAUUUUGACAUAUGGAGACCGAGUUAUCGCCCAAUUUGCAAAACUCGCCAACAAUUAGGCAAAAUCCUGAAAAAGAGGUCAAAAACCCGCAUCGGCCGAUCGAAUGACACACAAACACACACAUAACACCGCGUAGGUAAUAGACAUGCAUUAGAACUUACGGGACUCGAUUCCGACAUACAGAGACUGAGUUAUCGCCCAGUUUGCAAAACUCGCCAACACUUAGGCAAAAAGUCAAAAAAGGGGUAAAAACCCGCAUCGUCCGUCUGAAUGACACGCAAACACACUAAUAGCACAGCGUAGGUAAUAGACACGCGUUAGAACUUACGGGAUUCGAUUCCGACAUACGGAGACCGAGUUAUCGCGGAGUUUGCAAAACUCGCCAACACUUAGGCAAAAAGCCGAAAAAGAGGUCAAAACCCGAAUCUGCCGUCCGAAUGACACGCAAACACACAUAUAGCACCGUGUAGGUAAUAGACACGCGUUAGAACUUACGGGACUCGAUUCUGACGUACGGAGACUGAGUUAUUGCCCAGUUUACAAAACUCGCCAAUAUUUAGGCAAAAAGCCAAGAAAGAGGUCAAAACUCGCAUCGGCCGUCCGAAUGACAUGCAAACACACACAUAGAACCGCGUGGGUAAUAGACACGCAUUAGAACUUACGGGACUCGAUUCCGACAUACGGAGACCGAGUUAUCGCCCAAUUUGCAAAACUCGCCAACACUUAGGCAAAAAGCCGAAAAAGGGGUCAAAACUCGCAUCGGUAGUUCGAAUGACACGCAAACACACUAAUAGCACCACGUAGGUAAUAGACACGCGUUAGAACUUACGGGACUCGAUUCCGACAUACGGAGACCGAGUUAUCGCGGAGUUUGGAAAAUACGCCAACACUUGGGCAAAAAGCCGAAAAAGUGGUCAAAACCCGCAUCUGCCGUCCGAAUGACACGAAUACAAACAUAUAGCACCGUGCAGGGAAUAGACACGCGUUAGAACUUACGGGACUCGAUUCUGACAUACGGAGUCCGAGUUAUUGCCCAGUUUGCAAAACUCGCCAACACUUAGGCAAAAAGUCGAAAAGAGGUCAAAACUCGCAUCGGUCGUCCGAAUGACAUGCAAACACACACAUAGAACCGCGUAGGUAAUAGACACGCGUUAGAACUUACGGGAUUCGAUUCCGACAUAAGGAGACCGAGUUAUCACCCAGUUUGCAAAACUCGCUAACACUUAGGCAAAAAGCCGAAAAAGAGGUCAAAACCCGCAUCGGUCGUCUGAAUGACACGCAAACACACCAAUCGCACCGCGUAGGUAAUAGACAUGCAUUAGAACUUACGGGACUCGAUUCUGACAUACGGAGACCGAGUUAUCGCGGAGUUUGCAAAACUCGCCAACACUUAGGCAAAUAGUCGAAAAAGAGGUCAAAACCCGCAUCGGUCGUCUGAAUGACACGCAAACACACCAAUCGCACCGCGUAGGUAAUAGACAUGCAUUAGAACUUACGGGACUCGAUUCUGACAUACGGAGACCGAGUUAUCGCGGAGUUUGCAAAACUCGCCAACACUUAGGCAAAUAGUCGAAAAAGAGGUCAAAACCCGCAUCGGUCGUCUGAAUGACACGCAAACACACCAAUCGCACCGCGUAGGUAAUAGACAUGCAUUAGAACUUACGGGACUCGAUUCUGACAUACGGAGACCGAGUUAUCGCGGAGUUUGCAAAACUCGCCAACACUUAGGCAAAAAGACGAAAAAUAGGUCAAAACCCGCAUCGGUCGUCUGAAUGACACGCAAACACACACAUAACACCGCGUAGUUAAUAGUCAUGCAUUAGAACUUACGGGACUCCAUUCCGACAUACGGAAACUGAGUUAUCGCCCAGUUUGCAAAACUCGCCAACACUUAGGCAAAUAGACGAAAAAUAGGUCAAAACCCGCAUCGGCCGUCUGAAUGACACGCAAACACACACAUAGCACCGCGUAGGUAAUAGACACGCGUUAGAACUUACGGGACUCGAUUCUGAUAUACGGAGACUGGGUUAUCGCCCAGUUUGCAAAACUCGUCAACACUUAGGCAAAAAGUCGAAAAAGGGGUCAAAACUCGCAUCGGUCGUCCGAAUGACACGCCAACACACUAAUAG